UUUUUUUUUGGUAGCCGGCCUCUGAUCAGUCGGUUUGCCCCUAGCAAAACCCUCUCCUUCCGCCGACGACCGGGGCCGCAGGGGUAGAGCGCCAGCUCGUCCCUGACCGCGCGGUGGACGACACCGACGACCCGGACUUGGGAGCGGCCGCCAUGGAAGACGCCAUCGUGGGGGAAAGCGACGAGGUCGGAGGCAUGGGGCUCACGGCCGGCUUCGAGGACUGGCCGGAUGAUGCCGAGGUCGAAGUCGCCCCGCGCCGCCAGCCAGCGCCUGAUCAUCAAGGCGCGAGCUCGUCCGCCGCGUCGGCUGCUGGCGGCGGCUCCCAGAAGCGUCGGGCCGUGUCGAUCCUCUUCGGCAGCCGGCCGAAGAAGUCCAAGGCUUCAACAGCGGCGACCAAGCGAGAUGAGGCGGCCGCGAAGGUGGCCCACUUCCGCAAGGCGGUGAAGCAGCCGCAGGCGAUCUCAGCGUAAGUCGUCGAAUGCUUGGAUACAUAUUUUUCGUUGUUCUUCUUUUCAAUUGAAAACUCUUCUAAACCUUUCUUUGCUUGCCGGACAGGGCGCCGCUUUCCCUUGAGCGGGGUCCGGGCUGCUCCGUAGUCGGGCCGACUGGAGGGUCUUCAGGCUCCCGCCGCGUGGAUCCUCGCGCCGACCUCAGGGAGGCCACGGAGCAAAAUGCACGAGAGGCGCGGGAGGAGCGGGAGGCGGUGGAGCGAAGGGCUGCCCAGGCGACGAAGGAGCAGGCCGAUGCAGCAGCCAAGGCCCGGGCGGAGGCGGCAGCUGCGGAGACGGAGGCGGAGGCUUCGCACAACCAGCCUCCGCUGCUAGCCAUUCCCCUCCGCGUCGUGGCCCCCAACAUUCUUGUGCCUCCGCUGGAGGAGGUCGACCAAGAACCGCCAGUGAUGGAGCGGAGGGAGGACUCCGUGAUCUUCAUGGAGAGGGAGCUACCGGCAGCGCCAACCGGAGCGGGCCAAGGCGGCCAGUCGGCUGCGGCGCCAGAGCAGCCGGCUGGGGGUGAGCCGGAAGCAGGAGCCGGCCUCGAGGUGCAGCCGGCAAUGCGCCAGCACGCAGCGGGAGGCACCGCUGCGCCGGAGCCGCACCGAGCUACGGGUGCCAGCCAGACGGUGGAGGCCUUGGAGGCGGCCAGCACCGGCAUGUCCGAGUGGACUCCUAGCGGCAGGACGGGCGAGCUGAAUGUGGCGGCCCAAGAGGUUCGGAACCGGCUUCAGGCCCAAGCCGCCUCGCUGCAGCAAUACACCCAGGAGUUCCUUGCGACGCGGGCCGUCAUCCGGGUGAGUCUUCUAUCUUUGGUUGCUUUGUUCUCUUGACUUCUUCUGGGGGGGCGCGUCAGCGCACCCACUGGGUGUAGUCCCCGAGCAGUCGGGUCGGAUCUUCCUUGACGACUAUCUUAUUCUCGCCUCCUGUCUAAUCUUCCAGGAGUAUCAUAACCUCCGCGCUGCCGCCUUCAACUCCCAGGCUCAGGAGCUGGGUCGGAGAACCGAAGAUCUGAUCAGCAGCCGGAGUACGUACUUGGUUUCGUUCAACUCCUGUGGGGGCGCAUCAGCGCACCCACUGGGUGUAGUCCCCGAGAUUCGGGCCGACUGCUGAGCAGUCGGGUCGGAUCUUUCCUGACGACUUCACCUUACUGGUUUUUCUUUUGUCUUUCGUGCUCGCAGAAGCCAAUGCCGACUUAAGGGGGCAGCUCAGCGAGGCGCAGGCCGCCCUUCGUGCCAAGGAAACUGAGUACGACGCCUUGGUCCUGGAGCGUGACCGCCUGGCCAAGAAGCUGGCUGACCAGGAGGAGAGCCACAAGGCGGCUCUGAAGAAGGCGCAGGAUAACGAAGCCGCCCUGAAGGCCGAGUUCGAGACUGAAGCGGCAGGCUGGGCUGACCAGGCAAGCGCUGAAUGAAGGCUUCGGCUGUAUUGAGGAUUUGAUCGACGGUAAGCCGCCUUCCUCGCUCCUUGCCUGCCCCUUGCCGCCUGACUUGUGUUCUGACUUGAGCUGCUUUUUAUUCUCUGUGCAGACUACUUUCCUGGCUACUCCGUCUUCGCCGCCCAAACCAUCGAGGCCCAUCGCGAAGCGCGCCGAUAGGCGGGGGCUGAAGUCGCACCGGACGCGAGUCGGUCGCUCGAAGAGCAACUCUUGGCGGUCCAAGUGCGGCUGCAGCCGGCUCAUCGUAUGCUCCGCCGCCUCCAGCGCGCCGGAGCGCAGGUGUUGGCCGCCCUCUGGCCAAGCGAGAUGAUUCCCCGCACCCCGAGUUAGACUGCCGACUGGCUGGAGGUUGCGGUUGGCCGCUUCGAGGCCUGGAAGGCGUCGGUGGCCCGGCUCGGAGCUGGGUGGGCGCUGGAGUUCGUCCGAGCUUGGUAUCCGGGGCUGAACCUGGACCAGCUGCGCACCUGGCAGCUGGAGGCCGACGAAGAGCUAGCGGAGGUGCGGCCGGCUAUCGCUCAGCGCGCAUCGACAAUCGCCGAGUGUACUGACAUCAGCGUCUUCACUCCCGAGAUUAAUGAUGACGGUGUUGCCCAGCCGAAGGAGUGGUUCGGGCUGGACCCGGUGGCGGGUGAAGACUCGGCAGAAGAGAUCGCCUCCAGCGAUGAAGGAGAGGAAAGCAAAGACGUCGAGCCGGUCGGUGGAACAGCCAGCCAGCCUCAGCCUGACCGUGCCUCCAGCAACGAGGCGCGCGCAAGCGCGCCUUCUGCGGGAGGCGGUGAUCAUGCCGAGGUUCGCCAGCCGGCCACUCCUUCAGCCGGCACUGCCGUCUCCACCGACCUGCCCGGCUCGUCAGUCGCUCCGCCGGCUUAAUCUGCCGUCCUUGUUUUUCCCUGCUUGUUGCCUUCUGAACAAUUUUAUUAAGCUUCCGCAGUUCCACCCACUGGGGGUGUAUCCAAACUAUGUUGAAUGCUGGCCUUUUGAAGGUCUUUUAUGUAAAUAUUAUCAUGUGCAUGUUUGGUUUCCAUUCACGUAUGCUUUUUAUCCUUAGGUUGUUUCCUUUGCCGCCUUCCCCUUCUGGGAAGGCAAGUACUCGAGCUUUCUUAGAUUGGAGCGAGGUGAAUGGAAGCCGGCCGGCCGGCUACUCUGGUAAUCGGUCGGCGGUGGGAGAAAACCGGCUUUUGUUAUAUUAGUCCGUUAGUCCCUAGCCGUUUUUCGUGUGGGCACCCGUUCCUACCCUUAACUCUUGCCAGCCGGACAGCCGGAUCUUCGAACUGCGACUUUUGGCAAGAGAAGGCUUGGGAGCUGGCACACUACUUGUCUGACUGCGGGUAGGACUUCUAAUAUAACUCCAGGCGGCUAGUCCCCGGGCCGACUAGUCGAACCCGGUGCCGGACGGAAAAAAGUGAAUGCAAUGACAAGGCCGUAAGCAUGAUACCUUUCAUUUAUAGACAAAAGAUGGCAGUCCCCGAGCUCUCCUCGGGGGCCCUAUUGUCUCGUACUUAUUACAAAAGUUAGCGUGAUACAUACUGCAAUUCAGCUGUAAAACCUUCGGAGGAGGUUGGCGUUCCAUGGUCGUUCCGACUCCUUACCGGAGUCGUCUUUGUUUCGUGCCUUUGGCUUCUGCGCGUCGAUCAGGUAGUAGGAGUCGUUGCCUAAGGCUCUGCUGAUGACGAAGGGGCCCUCCCAAGGGGCUGAGAGCUUGUGUUGACCGGCUGUUUGCUGGAUCAGCUGGAGCACAAGAUCGCCCUCUUGGAAGGAUCUUGGCUUGACCUUCCGGCUGUGGUAGCGGCGCAGGCCCUGCUAAUAGAUGGCGGACCGGCUGAGGGCUAACAGCCGGCUUUCUUCUAGCAGGUCGACGCCGUCUUCUCGUGCUUCCUUGGCCUCCGCUUCCGUGUACAUGGUUACUCGAGGUGAGUCGAACUCGAUGUCAGUUGGGAUGACCGCCUCGGCACCAUACACGAGGAAGAAAGGGGUGAAGCUGGUUGACUUGUUUGGUGUAGUGCGCAGACUCCAGAGGACAGCCGGCAGCUCAUCGAGCCAACAGCCGGCCGAACACUCCAGUGGUACGAUCAGUCGGGGCUUGAUGCCGGAAAGGAUGAGGCCGUUGGCUCGCUCGACCUGGCCGUUUGACUACGGGUGGGUGACGGAUGCUAGAUCCAACCGGAUGCCUUGCGUCGCGCAGAAACGUGCCAAGGCUCCCUUGGCGAAAUUUGUGCCAUUGUCGAUGAUGAUGCUGUGUGGCACGCCGUACCGAGUUGUUAUAUCUGCGAUGAAUGUCACGGCAGUUGGCUCAUUCAGCUUCUUUAUCGGCUUUGCCUCAAUCCAUUUGGUGAAUUUGUCCACGGUGACAAGCAGGUGUGUCAUGCCGCCGCGCGCCGUCUUGAAUGGGCCCACCAUGUCCAGUCCCCAAACGGCGAAGGGCCAAGUGAGGGGAAUGGUCUUGAGUGUCGAAGCCGGCAUGUGUUGCUUGGAGCUGAAGAGUUGGCACCCUUUGCAAUGUUUAACUAACUCCUUAGCGUCAUCCAAAGCAGUCAGCCAAAAGAAACCAUGGCGGAAGGCUUUGGCGACGAGUGAUCUUGAGGCCGCAUGGUGGCCGCAUUCUCCAUGGUGGAUGUCUCUGAGGAUUGCAAUGCCCUUCUCUUGCUCGACACAUCGCUGGGGGACUCCAGUGACACUGCGCUUGACGAGCUCUCUGUUGACGAUUGUGUAUGCUCCGGCUCGGCGUUGGACUUGUCUUGCCUCUACUUCGUCAGCGGGCAGAUCUUGGUUUAUUAGGAAGUUGAGGAUGGAUUGAGCCCAUGACGGAGCUGCGACUUCUUCUAUUGCCAAAACGGCUACUGCGACCAGGGCGGGCGGGCUGGGCGGUGAAAUGCUGGAGUCGGACGCCGCCUGUUGUGUUGGUGUAGUCUCCGGGCCGACUACCGCAGUCCCCGAGCUGGGUGAGGCAGUCCCCGGGUCGGGCGUAACUACGGAAGUCCCCGAGCCGCCUGCUGAUACCCCCUGGCCGACUAUCGAAGUCCCCGGGCCGCCUGCUUGGUUCUUCGAGCCGGACCCGGCCGCGUCGGGGUCAGGCGGCACGAAGAUGGAAUCGGACUCUGGAGACGGCUUGAUAGACGGCUUGAGAAGGUGUUGUAGAGAGACGCCGAUUGGUAUUGCUUGCCGGGUGGAGCCUAUUCGAGCCAGAGCAUCAGCUGGCUCGUUGUCGGCUCGUGGUACGUGGAGGAACUCGCAUCCUUCAAAAUACCCACUGAUCUGCUGAACGAGGAAGCAAUAGCUUGCCAUAUUUGCGUCCUUGGCAUCCCAGUCGCCGGAUGAUUGCUGGACCACCAAGUCCGAGUCGCCAUUACAUAGGAUCCGGCGAAUGUCGAGUUCUUUGGCAAGCCGGAGCCCGUGUAUGAGCGCCUCGUACUCGGCCUCGUUGUUGGAGGCGGCAAAGUGGAUUUGCAGCGUGUAUCUGAGCUUGUCGCCUUUGGGAGAGGUGAGGACGAUGCCGGCUCCCAAGCCGGUGCGCGUCUUGGACCCAUCGAAGUGCAUGCGCCAAUGAGUGGAGUCGGGAGCCGGCGGCAGGUACUGGGUCUCGGCCCAGUCGACGAGGAAGUCGGCCAAUGCUUGGGAUUUGAUGGCGGUGCAAGGCUGGUAGAAGAUCGCGUAAGGGGCCAGCUCGAUGGCCCAUUUCGCCACCCGGUCGGAUGCAUCCCGGCUGCCUAUAAUCUCGGCCAGCGGGGUGGUGCAUACAACCGUGAUGGGAUGCUCUUGGAAGUAGGGCUUCAGCUUCUUGGCGGCGAAGUACAUGCCGUAGCACAUCUUCUGGUAGUGCGGGUAGUUCUGCUUCGAGGUAGACAGCACCUUGCUCAAAUAGUACACCGGCCUCUGUACCGGCUAGGCUCGGCCUUCUUCUGGGCGUUGGACUAUGAUGACGGUGCUGACCACCCGGCUGGUUGCGGCAAUGUAGAGGAGCAUGGGCGCUUUCUCAGUCGGUGCCGCCAGGACUGGCGGUGUGGCCAGCAUCUUCUUCAGCUCGUGGAAAGCUUGGUCAGCUUGGUCAUUCCACUCGAAGUGGGUGGUCUUCUUCAUGAGGCGGUAGAGGGGGAGAGCUUUCUCUCUGAGCCGGCUGAUGAAGCGGUUUAGGGAGGCCAAGCACCCGAUGAACUUCUAGAUGUCCCGAAGCUUGGUGGGAAUCGCCAUUCUCUCAAUGGCCUUGAUCUUUACUGGGUUGCAUUCGAUGCCGCGUUCGGAGACCAGGAAGCCUAGGAGCUGGCCGGCUGGUACUCCGAACACGCAGUUCUCGGGGUUAAGCUUGAUUUGAAACCGGCGUAGGUUCUCAAACGUUUCCUUGAGGUCUUCCAGCAAGGUGUCGCGCUUCUCCGUCUUCACCACAAUGUCGUCUACAUAGACGUGGGCAUUUCUGCCGAGUUGCUUGAGGAGGCACUUCUGCAUGCAACGCUGAAAAGUGGCACCGGCAUUUCUCAAGCCGAAUGUCAUAGUCAGGUAGCAGAAGGCUCCAAAUGGCGUGAUGAAGGUGGUCUUCAGGCGGUCUGCCGGAUCUAACUUUAUCUGGUGAUACCCUGAGUAAGCAUCCAAGAAACUCAACAGCUCGCAUCCGGCCGUGGAGUCUAUCACUUGGUCAAUCCUUGGUAGGGCAAAGGGAUCUUUGGGGCAGGCCUUGUUGAGGCUCGUGUAGUCUAUACACAUGCGCCACUUGUUGUUCUUCUUUAGCACGAGGACCGGGUUGGCGAGCCACUCUGGAAAGAAAACUUCCAUAAUGAAGCCGGCUGCCAGAAGUCGGGCUAUCUCCUCUCCCACAAUCCUGCGUUUCUCCUCCGACAGUCGGCAGAGGGGUUGUUUGACUGGCUUUGCGUCUUCUCGGACGUGUAGUUUGUGCUCGGCGAAUUCCUUCAGAACGCCCGGCAUGUCCUUGGGGGACCAUGCAAAGAUGUCCCGAUUCUCACGGAGGAAAUCGGCGAGCUCGCCUUCCUAUUUGCUGUUUAGGUUUGCCCCGAUGAUGGCAAACCUCUCUGGGUGCUCGGGGUCAAGAGGUAUAUUCUUCGUCUCCUUGGCCGGCUGGAAAGAUCCUUGAGCAUCAUGCUCCUUGGGAUCGGGGGACAAGGCCGACUGCUUGCCGGCUAUGGCCACGACUCUGUCCAACAUCUUCUUUUCUUCGUCAAUCACAAGGGACUCGGCCAGCCGGCUGCUGGCUGCUGCGCACUCAGAGGACUUCUUGUAAUCGCCAGCUACGGUGAUGACGCCUUUGGUGCUUGGUAUCUUCAUCUUGAGGUAUGCAUAGUGGGGAACUGCCAUGAAUUUGGCCAAGGCAGGUCGGCCAAGCAAUGCAUGGUAAAGGCUCUCCAGGUCCACCACUUCAAACCAGAUCGCUUCCCGGCAGAAAUGCUCCUUGUCCCCAAAAAGUACAUCAAUCUUGAUCUUGCCAAUGGGGGCGCAGGACAGGCCGGGUACGAUGCCAUGGAACACUGUCCGAGUAGGCAUGAGUUGCUUUGUCUUGACGUUCAGCUUCUCCAUGGUGUCGCGGUACAAGAUGUUGAUGCUGCUCCCGCCGUCUAUCAACACACGGGAGAAGCGGGCGGCGCAUCUGUCCAUUGCAAGGGUGGCAUCCAGAACCAAUGCAUAAGAGCCGGGAGAUGGCAUCACCUCUGGGUGGUCGGCCCGGCUCCAGCUAAUAGGUUUUUCUGACCAGUGCAUGUGCUCGGCGGGGUUGGCAGAAACCAUGCUGACUUCCUGGUUCUCUCGGCGUUUGCUGCGCCGGUCUUCGGGCUGGCUUGUAAAGACGAUAUAGGCGGCAUGCUCGUCGGGGAAUUCAUCAUGCACGGCUCCGACUGCGGGCCGAGCGGCCGGCGGCGGCGGAACCGGAGGCGGCGGGCCGGCAGGCGGAGGCGGCGCGAGCCCUUCGCCUUUGGAGAUUCGGGUGAGCCAAUGGCACUUCCGAGUUGCAUGGUUGGAUGGCUUCGCGCCGCUGUGGAACUUGCAUGGGGCGUCGAGAGUUUGCUCGUAGGAGAAGGCCGACUGCCAAGCCGGCCUGCCGCCCUUGGGUUUCUUGAGCAUGGGCCGCCCUUCGGGCGGCACGUCUUCGACUAUGGCCACCUGCCGACUGGCGGGAGGCGGCGCGGGGCCCUUGCGCUUGUGGUCGUUCGAGUGUGGGCGUCGGCCGGAAUCCCCAGCCGGCGUCUUGGGCGCCGGGUUGAGUACUUUUCCGGACGCGUCUACCCGGAGCUCGUUCUUCAUUGAGGAGUCGGCGGUGGCGUACUUGUCCGCUAUGUCCAGAAACUCGUCGAGGGUAGUCGGCUCGUCGUAGAGAAGCUUGUGCUUGAGGAGGGUGCCUUCUCGGCACCCGGCUGUGAAGUAUUCUAUGGCUUGCACCUCGUGCACCCCUUCGCAAGAGUUGCGGAGCUCGGCCCAACGCGUGAGGUAGUCGCGAGUUGACUCGGCGGGGCCUUGUACGCACAAGGAGAGCUGUCUGGGCUUGGGAGCCCGCUUGUAGGUGCUGGUGAAGUUGCGGACGAAAGCUUCUGUGAAAUCUAGCCAGCUGUUGAUGCUGUGUGGUUUGAGGCUGUUGAGCCAGGUCCGCGCCGUGCCUUGCAUCAUGAGGGGCACGUACUUCACGGCAAUGCGCCGGUUGCCGUUGGCUAUGCUAACCGCCAUGGAGUAGUCGAUCAACCAAUCUUCCGGCUUCACGGAGCCGUUGUACUUGGGCGUGUCUCUUGGGAGCGAGAACCCUUUGGGGAAGGGCUCGUCGCGGAUGCGGGGGCCGAAGCAAGGCAGACCGACAUCGUCUUCUUCUUCCAGCGCCAGGGAUCGCGCCAGGCAGUCGAUCCGAUGGCGGGUGUCGUUUUUGCCAACUCCUUCGCGGCGACCUAGUCGGCCGCUGAGAGUCGGAUGCACAACAGGCAGAGGGGUGGGAUAUCUCUCUCCACAGGGCCGAGGAGGAGGCGGGUUGCCCCGCCACUCCACGGCCCGUGGGUGGCCUUCCGCGUCUCGCUCGAUGGAGAUCCGGGUUUGGCUUCGGCUGGCAGCCGGCUCUUUCUCGCGCCGCGCGCGGUCUCUACCUGCAGUCGGUGUCUGGGACGUCGUGCCGUGAUCUCAGCGCGGUGGGAGGGCUUUCCGCGCGGGCACCGGCUUCGUGCCGCUGCACGGCUGCAUUGAUCAGCUGCUGGAUGCGUCGGGUCAUGUGGGGGAGUUCUUCGGCCCCCAGUCCGUCUAGCUCGUCUACGGCCGCUUGGGCGGCGCGCAGGUUCUCGAGUGGAGUGGCGUAAACUGGGCGGUCAACUCCUAACGUGUCGGCAAUGACAGCGCCGCGCUGUCUGACAACGCCGACCCGGCUGGGCCCGCCUGGGGGCGGCGUGCCAAAGGCGGCGCGGUCGGCCUCGCGUCGGUGGGCCUCAGCGAGGCGUCUCAUGGAAACCAACUUCCGGCCCUCCGCGAGGAGGGCGAGGCGGCGAGCCUCCAGUGCUUCAGCGUCGGCGUCGGCCGGGAGGGGGAUGGACAAGUCGUGGACCGUCGCGUGCGGGGCGUCGUGGGCGCUCUCGUCCGCAGCGCCGUCGUGGCCGAUGACCAUCACCUCGGUGGUGACAGCGUCACAGACAUCGGCUCGGGGAAGCGGGUCAUUAUAUAUCGUGACGUUGGUGGGGAAGGUGUCGAAUGAGGCCGUGUCAGAGUCGACAGGCAUCGGAUCGGUGGAGCCAACCGACUCCAAGUCCACAGCAGGCUUGCCGGAGACAAGGAGCCGGCCGAGGAGGUUGACGAGGUGGUCGGUGCCCGCGUCGAAGGCGAGCUCGUCGGAGAUGAGGGUCUUGUCGAGGAGAUCAGCGAGGUUGCUCGCUGUGCAGGCGUUGGUGACGCCUUGCAGCGCGUCGUGGCAAGCGACAUCGGCCGUGCCGGGCUGGCUACGCUCGCGGGGGAGGAAGAGGGUUCCCGUCCAGAAUAGGUCUCCGGACGAUGGAGCACCUGGCCCCACGGUGGGCGCCAAAUGUCGGGUGGUAGGUGCGACAUAUGCCAACGGGUGGCUUAUCAUUGUGGGAGCCAGUAAAACAUCGCCGGUGCCUGGAAACGGGAUGAGGCGAAGACAUGCACGCCGGCGAAUUUUACCCAGCUUCGGGGCUCUCCAUGGAGAUAACACCCCUACUGCUGCUCUGCGGGGUCUCCGCAUGAUCACUAGAUGAACAAGUAGCUACAUGAUGCUCCUUGAGCUGUUUGGCGAGAGGAGGAAGAAGGGCUCUGCUUGCUCUCUUCUCCUCCCUACGUGGUGUCUAAAACUAGCAGGGAUCCCUCCUUGGCAUGGGUGUCCCGGGGGGUUUAUAUAGGCCUACCCCCUGGGGGUACAAUGGUAAUCCGGCUGGGCAUGGGGCCCAGCCGUCUAUGUCUUCGCUCUCCGGCUUCUGCGCCGGCUGCUGGGGCCCACCGGCUGGUGGGUCCCGCCGGCUACCGGCUCCUUGGUCGACAGGCAGGCCCCACUGUCCAGGGCCUUGUCGGUGGCUGGUUACUGUUGCUCAAUCUUGGUGACGAGGGCUUCGCUGAGGUAAGCGUGGCUACAGUGUUGCCGUCCGGUGGAUGACCACUAUAGCCUCACCACGUCUUGUCUCCUUAAUGGGGCGUCUCCUUCGAGGGGGUGGCAAGCCGGCUGGAGAGAGCCGGCUCCGUCUUGGGCUGUCUGGGGGAGGCCAGGCCGCCUUCAGGUGUCUCUCUGCCCGAAGGGGCCCACCGCCCGUGGGCCGUACUGGUAGCCCGUCGUGGCUGACAUCAGGGUUAACGUGGCAACAGUGCUGCGCCGGACGAGUCAUGGCCACCCGUACGGCGCACUGUGCCAGGCGCGCUCCGGGAUUCGGGGGUGGCAGGUUUCACUGUAGCCACGCCCCGUCACAUCGCCGUUAUGUGGAUGCAGACUUCGAGGGUACGGUCUUGACCGCUUUAUGGGAGCCGGCUCCUUGGAGUCGGCCUUCUCGCAGCCGGCUCCUCGGAGUCGGCCCUCCCGCGGCUUCCUUCAUGAGGGCUGAAGUUGGGCCGCCUUCCAAUAGCCGGCCUGGGAGACAGCUGGCCAGGGAAAGGCGGCCCCGUGUCUUGGAUUCUUGAGAGCCGGAUUGGCUCGUAAUUUUUUUAGAAAGGCCGGGGGGAGCCGGCUAGGCUACCCGUGGUCACUUACUCCAACAUUGAUAAAGUUCAUGAAGUUUUCAACCCCCUCGACAUAUGUAGCGGAGAAUCUUCGAGCGGAAGUUAUCCAAGCCUUGUCCAUCUGUUAGACAUAAAAAUUAUUUCUUCUACUAGAUAUUACAGGAAAAACAUAUAUGCUUUUUUAUGAAGUCCAGAAAAAAAAUACCUAGCUCGAUGUCUAAAGCUAUGGCAAGAUAUUUGGACGAGCAGAUCUAAGUAACGAAAUAUAUGUAAAGCUAAUUCAGCAAACAGAUUUGAGUGCCAAAUUAUGGCAGGCUGUUUCAGCAGUCAAUGAGGCCGAGCACACAACCGUCGAACUAUCGAAGGCCAUCGCAGCAACAAAGAUUGAGUAUAAAAUGGUGUAGAGCUAUUUCACCUAACAGAUUGGCAAUCUAUGUUAGAAUAAAUAUAUGGCAGGAUAUUUUAGCAACUAAUCGGCCUUGGCAUGCCAUCUCAGCUAAGUAGAUUGAGUACAGAACAGGGCAAGGAAGCUUCUUAAGCAGAGCAUAUUGACAGUAAACUACUUCGGCAAACAGUGAGAUUAACAGUGUCUAUCAGCUAACAUUCCGCGCUACACCGACAUGAACGGGGCCUCAGUCUAGAAUGUGCGUACCGUGGGAGAAGCUGACUGUCGUGCGUCUCCACACGAAUGUCGCCAGCGGUGCCGGCGCUGGCCGCCGUACGCCUCCACAAGAACGUAGCCAGAGGUGGCGGCGCAGCUAGAGGACGGCAGUCUACGAGAGCGUACUGUGGGAGCGAGAGGAUCGCCGAACCACGGCGCUGACGUAUCGGCAUGGCGGGGAGGGCGGCUUUGGCGGAGCGAAUGGAGUGGAGGGGGACAGGGGGGAGGGGGUUUGGGGAAUAUUAUUGGCUAGUUGGUCGAAGGGCAGUUGAAUCGGAUUUGGGGGGAAUUUUUGGGUGUGGGGGAGAGGAUUUUCGCGCGGUGGGCGGGGGGAGUUUGGCGCAUGGUCGGUUUCUCCAAGUGCAGUCCCACGUGUCAGUGAAGAGGCAAGCCGAAGCGCGUUUCGUUUGCAUGAGCCGUGUGCAGGACCGAACGUGUGUGGGGUGCAAUGCGACCGCGACAGGAGUGUUGUGAGUGUACCGCCUUUUUUCCUUUUAAACUAGGUGCUUCACCCCCUCAAAAAAAAUUGUUGCUUCACGCGAUCCAUCUAUACUACUACUAGUAAUCCGGUAAUCCCGACUAAAACGGCGCGGCCGGGUCUUUUCCCGCGCGAUAUGCUGGGAGGUUGGCUUAGUUGGGUUUUUUAGGACGAGUAAUGCUACACCUACGUAAUCCCAGUUACGUAAUUAACGUAAUGUGAAACGUGUGAGCUGUUGAUUGUAGAUUGGGGGGAGGGAGGGGCCCACCACCAUGAAAAUCAGGGGAGGAGAGAGAGAGGCAAUUUACGUUAACCCUUUCAUAGGUUCUCAUAGAUGUAGAAAGGUGUGAAAUGCAUGAAUGUGUAGUGGACGUACUAUUGGAGUGCCUAAAAUAAUUUGUGUAUGUAUAGACCCUAUGUGUUUAUUUUACUUCGCAUGUUAGAUUUGUCUCGGUUUAAUAAAAAGCAGAGUUGGUGAUGAUGGUGUGCCUGUCAUCCUGCAAUAUAUGACGUUCGAUCUAUAUCUAACAGAUAGGAAGGAAACUAUGACAAUUUACCCGCACUCCUCUCCACAUUUGCAGAUAAGGCUUUCUCUCGUUCAUCCUUUUCUCCCACAAGAUCUUGAUCUUCCGUGCAACGCGCGGGCAUCUUGCUAGUACUCCUACAAUAUGUAUAUUAUUGUGAAAGUUCAUAUACACCGGCCGAGAUUAAUGCAAACACGGCAGAUUUUCAUUACAUUUCGAACUUUUAUAGGACAGAAAAAUAAAAGAAACCUGACCCUAAACCUAUUCUACGGCGGUGACCGACGUCCUCCAUCUGCGAUCUCUAUGUACGGGGGCGGGGUUCAAGACCCGUGAAGUGAAGGUGCGGUCUCUGGCGAGGAAGAGUAGAACACGGGAUACGGACCGGCCAGUUGGCACACCAUGCCCUGCCGCCUCCCAUGCCCUACUCAUCCUCGGAGGAGUCCCCGACCUCGGCGGUGCCGAACGUUGGACGGCGGCAAGUAGGACGCGUGGCUGACGGUGCUCCCGUCAUCGGCCGCCAGCGUGGCCACCGCUUGUGCGGUCGCGUCCGCGUCCGGCUACGCCGCUAUUGCGUCGCGAGAGGCGACUUGAGCGAGGGCGGCGACCUCGAGCUUCAUCCCCGAAGACAAGCCUUCCCGAAGAGCGUUCGCACUUGCGGUCAUGGCGGAUGUGGUGCCAGGUAGGAGGACGAUGCGCUAUGGUGUGGAGGUUAGCUGGGCAUUGCCGCUUUAAGUAGCGCAUUCCGGUGAGGCCAAGCGUUCGGGUGCGUCAUUAAGUCCCCGGAGUUGGUUCCUCGGGCACCGGGCCUCUUAACGAUGACAUACGAACGGACGGCAUGAAUGCGGGCAGCUGGCGCCGACUGGGAACGCACCACGCGACGAUGCAAGGGACGAGGGUUUUGGUGUGCCAGGGUAGUCAGCUGCGGUCGUGGCAACGUUGGAUAUGCCCUUUGCUCACAUGCGAUCCCCGCAUGUCAUUGAAAAAGCAAGAUGACACAUCAUGGUCUCAAGUCCAUAGGAUGCAGUUGGCCACGCUACACCACUCCACGGACGCGUCGCGGCGCCCCGUGCAUCCUUGACGAGCCGGGUGUUGGGGUGUGUUUGGAUUGUGGCCAAAGUGCACCUUACCAAAAUUUUGGUCAUGACCCAAAGAUUGGUCUUUGUUUGGAUGGUUGCCAUUUUUUUGGCAUGCCAAUGAACUCUAGCCAACUCUAGUUCAUUUUUCUUGCCAAUGUCGGCCAAAUCAUGGGCAACCAAUACCUCAACCAAAAUUUUGGUCAUGACCCAAAUAUUGGUCUUUGUUUGGAUGGUUGCCAUUUCUUUGGCAUGCCAAUGAACUCUAGCCAACUCUAGUUCAUUUUUCUUGCCAAUGUCGGCCAAAUCAUGGGCAACAAAUACCUCAACCAAAAUUUUGGCUACCCAAUGCCUUGAUGGGGCAACCUUGGGCACAAACCAAACAUACCGUUGGUCGUGCCACAGCACUAACGCCACCGUCGGCACACUGAAACCGACCGUGUCUAGCGACGAUAUGAGCGUGUCGCUCACCGCGGUCGCCGUGUCCAGAGGCGGUACUGGAGCUGCGCCCCGUUGUUGGCCCCAACGACCCACAUGAACGGUUGUCGGUGGUGAGGAGGUCGUGGGCCAGCUCCUCCAUUGGACUAGUCUGUGCUACGUCAUCCUGACGGGUGUGCCCCACAUGUCGGUUUCCCUAUUUUCCUGGCCAUAUUCGAGCGUCAGUGCUCCGCGUUGCGCAUUAGGCCUUUCACUAUGUAGGCCAAGCGAGACAACUUAUUGUUUAUUUGAGCCGUUCAAGUAUAAUCAUGUGGCGUUUGCUUAUUUCUCAUUCCUCUCCAACCCUCUUCUCCAUCGGUCAUGUCGCCCUCCAGUCGAGUCCAUCCUCCCGCAUGCCUCAUUUGAACAUUCCGCCGAGUAUCAUUCGCAUGUACCCAGCCUAGUCCUCUUUCAAUAGAUCUCCGGACCCCGAGAUGAAAUCGAGAGGGGACGAUUGGGGGCACGUGAUACCUAAGGCAGAUUCAAAAUUUUGAACCGGUGAUCAUAGCAUCCGCAAAUCAUAUAUAAAGGGUAUUCAAUAUUUGUUUCGUUUUUUAAUGUACAAUAUACUCCCUCCUAUCCUUUCUAGUUUACAUAUAAGUUUUAUGUGUAGUCAAAGUAUCUCUACUUUGAUCAAAAAGGUAUCAACAUUCAACAACACCCAAUCAAUAUUGUUAGAUUUGUACGUACUCCUAGAUUUGUACUCAAGAUGGUUUCCAAUUUGACUAUUGACAAGAUUAAUAGUACAUGAGAUGUAUAAUGUGAAAAUUAUAUCAUUGGAAACUCCUUUCACAUACGAAUUUGACCGUAUGCUUUGUGUAAGUUGCAUGUCAUAUAUUAUUACUCUAACAUUUGGUCAAAGUUAGCCUCGAAAAACGCAUUAGACCAUGUAUGCUUUGUGUAAGUUGCAUGUCAUAUAUUAUUACUCUAACAUUUGUGUAAGUUGCAUGUCAUAUAUUAUUACUCUAACAUUUGGUCAAAGUAGUAUAGUGGAAGUGGAUCCUCUGACGUAGGUAUCCCUGCCUUACCCUCCCUUUCGGUCACUUACUGGCGGACCCCAUGCUUGCUAGGCCCCGCAUGUCAGUUACUCAAUGGGUUCGGCCACGUCAGGGGAUCCUCAUCCGUAGAAUACUCCCUCAGUUUUUAUUUACUCCGCAUAAAAUGGAGGGAGUGGUGGUAUAAUAAAUGACAUGGGCAGGGGAGGGGGAGGGACGUCGGUUUCCUCUCAACUGCGGUCCCACAAGCGAGCAAAAACGCAAGACGAAGCGCGUUCCAUUCGGUGAGCGACGUGGAGGGUCCAGCGUGCCGGGCUGCAACGCGAACGCGACAAGAGCGAUGUACAGUCAAAACCGAUUGACCGGUCGUCACCGGAACCACUAUUCACACCAGAACCUUCGCUGCUCUGCCUACGCCAGCCACUGCCCUAAAACCACACCAAAUAUCCAGCCCAUUCCCCCACCUUUCGAUCCCCUAGCCCGCAUCAAGCGUCCCCUAGUUCGCCGGAAAGCCAUGGUGCGCCGCAAGAUCACUUACUACAAGAUGCUGACACCGGAGCGCCGCCCAGAAAUCGCGGCGGCGGUCGGCGCCACAAACCUCCAUUCCCAAGCUCGCUUUGUGGCGGGCCAAUCCCCGAGUUCUCUGGAGCCAAGCUACGAGGAGGAGGAAACCGAUCCAAUGUUCAUGGCGGAGGUCGCGGCGCAGAAGGCCCCCGAUGGGUAUGAGACGAUGGACGUCGACUUCGUGCCGGUGUCCGAGUCCCCCAUGGUGCAGGCGGACCAGCGGUUCAACAUGGCGAUACUAAAGGAGGACCGGGAGGCAGAGGCUCAACUCGACACGGAGCGCGCGCAUGUCGCUGCCAUCGAGGCUCUCCUGCAGGCGGAACCGGAUGUCGUGGAUGUGAACCGGGCGGCGGAGGCUUAACUUGAGGCGGAGCACGCGGAUGCCGCUGCCAUCGAGGCCCUCCUGCAGGCGGAACCGGAUGUCCUGGACUUGAACCGGGCGGCAAAGGCUCGACUCGACACAAAGCGCGCGGAUGCUGCUCUCAUCAACGCCCUCCUGCAGGUGGAACUGGACGUCUUGGACUUGAACCGGGCGGCGGAGGCUCGACUCGACGUGGAGCGCGCGGAUCCCGCUGCCAUCGAGGCCCUCCUGCGGGCGGAACCAGACGUCCUCGACUUGAACCGGGUUGUGCUCUCGUCCGUGCAGAGCGCCCGCACGCUUCGCUUGAACGAGCAGCUGGAGGCCAAGGACAACCACGGCGCGGAGACACACAUUGGCAGCGACGGCUGGUUUGCGCCGGCAGCCAAAGACGAUGAGGCUGUCUCUUUCCGCGAGCAGUGAUAGUUUUUCUUUAUGUUGUUGUUUUUAUGGAUCUUUUGCUGUGUAAAAACAUAUAUUUGUUAUGCAAGUCGCCUGACUUGGGUCAGUCUACCAUUUCAUGCGGUUGGAUGAAUAUCCUACGUCUCCUAACCCUUCUUUCCUUCUUCCUCACCUCUUCUUCUUCCCCAACAGACCACCGCACGGGCCGUACGAAUACUCCCCAACAUGCGGUUGGAUAAACAUACUCUAUGAACGAAAAUUAUGUGCAGCGAUAGGAUGGCUGAGUUUGGUUUGUUCACAUGCGACAUCACGUGUCAGUGAGGGUGCGUUCCCUUGGUUGGGUUUGCGGCAUGCAGGAGCGACUGUGUGAGGGUGCGGUGCGACCGCGGCGUGCAGGAGCGACCGUGUGAGGGUGCGGUGCGACUGUGACAGCCGUGUGCAAGUGUACCUCCUUCUCAUUUUGAAAACUUUAGGCAAGCUUGGCAAAAAUGUGUGGCGAAGUUUGGCAAUGCAAGGCCUAGACCCAAACAGGAUAAGUACGUACGUACUAGGAGUACUAGUGUUAAAAAAGAAAGGCGGGGUUUUCCUUCGCGGGAUUUAAUCGAUACAAAUCCUCGUUUCACGUGUCAAUUAAUGCAUAUUUUUUUCUUCAAAGACCAAAGAGCUAACCAUCUCACUCCUCAUCGCUUGAUUAAUGCAGCGCCAUGCAAACCAACCUUCUCACUUCCACAUGCAUGCAGGGGAUAUUAAUGUCCUUGGUUGCUAACCCUAUCAAUUUUUCCUCGAUUAGUGUUAGUGGCCCUUUGCAAAUUGUAAUUUUGAUAUACUGGCCUUGUGUACAAAAAAAUGGAGGUAGUAACUAUAUUUGACUUCCUUCCCCAUUGUGAUGACGUCGACGAUGUCUUUUUUUUGGUGGUUUGGCGAAGUGCGUUCGACGGAGAACACCAUUGAGGGAGACCACGGUAAGUCGUUCGAAAGUGCCGCCUGCAAGCCGAGACAACCGCCUUAUUUGCAUCCAGGAAGUCCUUUACUAGUACUACUAGGAGUACUAGUGCGGUGAGAUGGUUUCUCGAAGAAGACGAUGGAGAAGCGGAGUCAGUGAAGAGUGAAAUGAUGGUUGCUUCAUCCGUACUUUUGUGAGUUGACGCAUCACUGCUUUGUGAUUUGUGAUAGAAGGGAUAGGGGAGUAGACUCUGUGCUCUAUACUGUACUACAUGCAUCCAAGCAUGGGAGAAAGAGGAGAGUCGUUGCAUUUUUUCUAUUCCUUCCAUCAAUCAAUCAGGGAGCUUCGGUUCCAUCUUUUUGGCUUUGGCAACACCGUCCACAAUGGUUCCCACGAUGCCAAAAGCUAUUUUCACAUUUGGCUACACAUUGUGGAUGCCCUUAACCGUACCACUUGGUUUUGCUCCUGUGUGCUAUCUAUACAAAUCUCAAUUGUAUUGAUCUAAGAAAUUAUAGAAUCAAGAUUAGUAAAAAGGAGGUGAUUUUGUCGCGCGGAUGGCGGGGGAGGUUUCUUAUUUGAGCAAUGCUACAUCCACGUAAUGGUGUACGUAAAGUUACGAACUGAUGUGAUGUGGGACUAUUUGAUUGGAUUAAAGGAGAGGAUUAGGCCCACCCCACCUAAAAAUCAGGGGGCAUAUAUAGAUUAGAUGGAAAGUAUACGUAGCAGCUACUUAGCCCUUUGUAAGUCUAGGAUUAGCCUUCUUAUUUUCUGAGGACGUUGUCCUGGCGGUUUGCUAACAUGCGGUCCCACGUGUCAGUGCUUUACCAAGCCGAUCCGCGUCCCACAUGAGGCAAAACAACGGCAGAAGCAACACGUGGUUAAGUUGAAGAAGAUGAGGGAGAAGCAGAGUCAGCAACGAGUGAAAUGAUGGUUGCUUCAUCCCUCCAACUUAAUUGCGGGAAAGGUGCAGCUUUGUGAUUUGACGCCUCAUUGCUCAUUACUACGCCGGCGCCAUGACUGGGGUGCUUCACCCCGGCUGCUCUGCACUGUAUUCCGGUAUGGCAGGUGGACCCGGUAGCUUGAUGUCCCACAUGUUGGCGAAAGGGACUAGAAGAUUUAUGAAAGCGAGCGCUCCACUCUUAUGACGGAGGAGUAGACGACACGAUGGCCCAGUGAACUGUCACUUGUACUGUAUAGUACUAUAGUUUUGUUGUUUCGCACGAUCCAUCGAUACAAACCCGAUUAAACAGGAAAGGGCGAGAUUUUUCCCACGCAGCAGAUGAUACUGGCCAUACAUUUCAAAGGCAAUUUUAAUGUAUGCAAACUGAAUAAUUAUAAGUAACAAUAUGAUAUCUAGUAAAACUAAAAACACAUAUGAUUUAUUGUGUUAGAGUGUAGUAGUAGUGCUGUAUUGCAUAGUUGUUAGAUGUAACAUGCGAGAACGUGUAGAGAUGUAGUUUUGGAGGGCCUACAGAGAGAAAAGCAUAAUACGGUCACCGAACUUCAGAAUAAGCUGAUUACGGUCACUAUAUACGUUUUGCGGUGAUUAUACGGUCACUUGCUCAUAGUUCAGCAUCGGAUUGCACUCUGUUGACCGGCUAAAUAGUCUGUGCGGCGCCAUAUUAACUAGUUAAAUUGACCACGUUCCUUGUGGGUCCCACCUGUCAGUUUGCAUAGGCAAAAGGUCAGAUAAACACAAAUUUACGCAUGCGCGACAAGGCUCCAACCCGUGCGCGGGAAUCACCUGGUUGUGUAUGUGUUUGUCAGGGCCUGAUGUGUGUGCAUGCACGUGUAGGUUGAGCACUUGAGCGUGAGAGUGUGUGUUGGUCGUGUGGUGUACUGGUGUGUGCAUGCAUGCGUGCGUGUGUGCGUGUGAGUGUUGCGUGCGUGCGUGGCUGCGUGUGUACGUGUGAGUGUUGCGUGCGUGCGUGGGUGCAUGUGUUUGUGUGAGUGUUGCGUGGAUGCAUUUCGUGUGCAUGCGUGCGUGUGUGUAUAAUCACCACACCAGCUCCUGUGUGUUAAAACAGUCGGCUCAGCAUACCAAUACAAGGCCACCUUGUUCGCUGUGCCCGCGGUCAUGACUUCGAACCACCGUCCAAAUAUUUUUUUGUCGUUUGUUUUCAUUCUUACUAGCAAGAUGCCCGUGCGUUGCACGUAACAUCAAGAUGCAUUUGUAUGACUUGUUUAUCUUGUGAGAGAAAAGGAUGAACGAGGAAAGGCCUUAUUUGCAAAUGUGGAGAGGUGUGUGGGUACCUUUUUGCAAAAUUGCCAUAGUUUCUUUCCUAUCCGUCAGAUAUAAAUCGGAUGGCCUAUAUUGCCGGAUGGCAGGCGCACCAUCAUCACCAACUCCGUUUUUUAUAAGAGUGUAUUUUAUGUAUUUUAAAAGAGUGUAGAUGUAGAGUAGAUACAAGUCGACAGGUGGGCGCGAUGGUAGUGAGAUAAUGUGAUGCAACACUAGAGGUGCCAUGUGGAGCGUUUAACUGGUCAACUAGUCAUGUCAUGAGCAAAUACGGAGUUGUACGGUGAGCCCGUGACUGUAUAAUAACAACUAAACAUAAAUGGUGAGCGUAAUGAGUGGAUUCUGAAGUCCAAUGUAUGUAUCGUGCUUUCACUUCAAAUACAAUGAUCGUCAUUGCAUAUAUCGCGAGAGAAAGAUGAAACAUGCGUGAAUUUUCUGGGGGCUUACUUUUAGAGGACCUGAAGAUAGUUUUGUGUGCAUAUGUGAAAGGGGCGUACAGGGGGGUAUGCGAUGGAGAGAGAGAUGCUCUUCCUUUCUCUUUAUUAUGACUAACUUUGUAUAUAGUAUAAAAAUAUACAAAUUCACAGUGCGGAAUAAAUAUCAUUGUGGGCACCAUGCAAUGCAAAUUAGCGUUCGUACUCCUCCAUAUAACUUCGUAAUGUUGUAUAUAUGUAGAAACUCUAAAAUAAUUUUUUGGCCACACUUUAUUCAAAAGGAAUGUUGUAUGCGAAAUAAACGUGAAGAGAGGGCUUUUUAGAUCAAUGGGGUACGUGAUGUAACAUGUGUGAAUGUGUAGUUGAUGCAUUUGGCGGGGCCUAGAGAGGUAUGUGUGUGUAUUACGUAUUCGAGAGAGGCAUGGAUAGAGGGGCCAACGGGGGCGUGGGAGAGAUAGCACGGGCAAUGAGAGUGGUCUAGAGAGAGAGACAAAUAUGAUGUCACGACAAGAGAUUCCAUUCCCUUGAGUGUGUAUAUGCAAGGGGGGAGGGAAUAGAGGCACCAGGAGAAAUUUUCUCUAUGUGUGGUGUUUGUGUUGGUAUGUGUGGGUGUGAGAAGAUAAUGAGACGUGGGGGCAGAGGGUGUGUCACCGCGUGAGGUCCGGUGGGUCGAGGUGAGGCCCUUCGUUCGGUUCCGUCCUACGCCACAUUGGUCGGCCUGUGACGCAUUUAGGAAGACCCAUGGAUGACUAGUCGUACAAGACAAAGAUAGCAGAAUUGUGAAGGACUCUGUGUCCACUGACAAAGCCCGCUAAGAUUUGUAACCCUAGGUUCUCGAACUAAGGUAACCCCUUUAUCUCUGGUAUUACUAUUCAUCCAACCUAACUUUAAGGGGCAUCCUACAGAAUGCUCUGCUAGAAUCAUACUCAUCGAUUAGGAAGAGAGGUGCGAGACAAUGCGUGAGAGACAGGCGUAAAGAUAAUGUGCAUACAUGAGACACGUAGGCAGGUCCAUGUAUAUAGAAAUGGUCGAUGAGGAUUGUGCGUGUGUAUGUUUGCGAGAGGAAGAGUGCUUGUGAUAAAGGUUAGUGAAAACAGUUGUAAAUGGUUACGAGAGGGAGGGAGGGUUAUAUAUAGAGCAUGUGUGCGAGAAAGACACCUCGGGAGAGAGUGUGUGAGCAUGUGUGAGAGACCACCGAUGGAGAGUGAAACUAUACGUAAAAGACUGCUCUACACAUUGAUUAAAGAUAUAAAUUGUAUCCAAAUAUUAGGAUGGGAUCAUGAUAUUUGCAAUUCGCAUAAGGAGCGGUCAUUGAUCCAUCAGACAUCUAGAUUCUAUCGAAUUUGAGCAUGUCUAUGUUAUUAUUCGACACAAUUGUUCCACAUAGUUAGUAUUUUGAACUCCAGACAAUGCAUCGCUUUAGCAAUCGAAUAUAAACGUGAGUAUAGUUCAUGUUGUGUGUGUAAAGUACAUUAUACAAACGAAAGUUACACAAUGGACAUUAUAAAUAGCUACCUAUGAACUAGAAUACAUUUGAAUUCAACUUAAGGUGGUUUAAAAAAUCGAAUUCAAUAUGAAGUCCAUUCAAUUAUUUGAAUUUGAUAUCAUGGCAUUUGUACACCAUACCUAAAUUAUGGGGGCACCAAUCUUUGCUCUGAUUUUGUACAUAAUAGCAUAUGUAGUCGUGUACAAAAUAGAUUCAAAUUUAGCUCCUCCAUUCCAAAAUAAUCGUAGUUAUAGGAUUUUCAAGUGUUAAAAUUUCAAAAAGAAGCGGAUAAUUUAAUGAGGUUUUCAAACAUACAAGGUCAAAUAUAAUGUUGUCUAUUUAGGUCAAUCCUCAUAGUUCAAGAAUACUCUCAACGUGAAUGCUUGUGUUUCAAAAUUUCGAACGAAGCGCCAAAAGAGCCUCUACUCGCCCGAAACCGCGUGAGACCAAUGUUUGGUAGUACAAGGAAAUUACUUUUCUAAUAACUCCGACCCGUGAAACCUACCGGCCCGACGUCCAAAGGUCUAAACCGGGGUAGGUUUGUAGCUUCAUCUAGACGCCACGCAACCGCAUCCGAAAACCAUUCAUACACAAUGGCCGCCUAAGCACACAUGCGCGCGGUUGAAAUCGCUCCCGCCCACUAUUUGGGACACCUGGGAUUACCAUCCUACCCCCAACCCGUAGUAGGUCUAAAAUUUAAGAGGGGGGCAAAGUUUGUACUUUCCCCAAAUUUCAAACAAGCGCGUCCCAUCUUCUGUUCAAAAAAGCCAAAAACAAGUGCGUCCCAGACCGAAGCAUGGUUCCCCCACACCUGUCUGAUUCCCCAUUCGUACUCCGUGGGCGCCGAAACUACCUCUCCACCAGCCGCGAAACCCCGGCGUCCUUCGUUCGCGACCCCAUCCCACCCAUCAACCGCCUCCCCCUCCAUCACGCCGGAGCCGAUACCCGGACGUCGUCAUCCACCGCAACCUCAACCGCAACGCCCUCCACGGCUAGUACUUGAAGCCGAGGCCGAGCCGUCCAUACCCGAGCCAGUUCAACCACGCCGUCUUGCGCCUCACCGCUGUCGCUCCAACUUCGCCACCCUCCACCGCACCGGAGCUGUUCCUGCUACGCCAUCCUUCGCCGCCUCGGAUCAGCUUCCCCUCCGCCGACAUACAGCCACGGCAACACAGACAACAAUUUGGCCAUGGGUUCGUCCAAGCCUGCACCCUCCAGAACAUCGGUUUCCCUGGUAAAAAGAAGAAGAUCGGCACGACAUGUGGAGGUGACCACACCUACAACCGAAAAAGGUACUCCUCUUCCCUUAUUCGUGCAAAUCUUACGUCUCUGCUUGCACGGUAUUCAUCCCACAGAAGACACUAGUUGAUCGCUUCUUCUUGAUACUAGAUGUUCCUAUUAACUCGCGAUGCACAAGGUUUCUCCUCAUAUACUAUUUCACCUUGGCUAGAGGUCCGUCGCCCCCUUGAAUUUCAAUUUCUGGCCAGUUGAUUCCCAAUUAACGGAAGCAUUCCCUGGCGUAACAGGCGCUAGUAUGCUUAUUACGCCGGGGAAGCAGCGCCUUGGUGUUUAUCUUAGGGGCGUGUGCGGCCUAGAGCUACUGGCGCCCGAUCUGGAGGUCGGCCGGGAUUAAAGGGAUGGCCUGGGGGCGCUGCCAAGCACGGUGGUGGUGUGAGGUCGACGGGAGGGCGGGGCGGCGGAGGCAGGGUCUGGGCUGGUGGUCGCUGGCGGUUUGAGAAAGAUCGUCAACAGUGACUGGCGGGAGGUAGACGAAGGCCAUCUGCCCGUUCCUUAUAGAUCAGACGGUUCAUUAAAAAAAUCGACUGACCUAUUUAUUUUCAGUUGACUGUUAUCUUAGAUAUGACCACAUGUGGUGGUGUGCUGGAGGAGUACCUGCAUUUCCUGUGCUCGUAUAUUACCAAAUCAUAUGGAGUAGAGUCUAAUUUUGUUUGACAUGCAAUGUUGUAGAGCUAUCAUAUGUCUCCUGUCAUUUAUUUUUCAGCCACCUGUUAUCUGCUACUUUUACAAUGCACUAGUUCUGCACACACUUCACCCUUACUCUCACUAUUGUGUUUUUAUGCAAGGGUAUUUCAAACUCUACUGCCAUGAGAGAAGCCAAAAAGAAAAGACAGAAGUCGCUCCAGCUUCGUAUGCGGGUAGGCAAGACAUGUUAUAGCGCUAUAAAGGGUGCAAUGUCAGCAGAUGGAGACGGUAAACGUAGCUCUGGAGUUGAUGACCUCGCUCGCAAUGAACCACCAUCCCAGGUGCUUGCUUUAAAUUCGCGGUGUCAUAUGUGGUUGCAUGUUCCAUAUGGUGUCUAGCUUGUAUUCGAAAUGCCGAAGUCGGUAAGAUAAGGGAAGAUAUUUUUUUACAUGAACCACCAUCCCGUGAGCACCAGAAGACAAAUAGCUAGUCAGGGCACUGGCCGAGCCGGUGACAAGCCCAGCAAAGAUAGGCAUCACCUGGAAGCCAACUAAAAAGCUGCGAUGGUGGCGAAGCAGCCAGCCUCCCACCAAGCUCUCAGGUCCUAGAUGAUCAUGCUCACCACUCCAGCCGGAUGUCUAGCUUGUAUUGCUUCCGAUCUGGUUAAAUUGCAUCUGCUUAGCUUACACAUUAUACCUUUGAAUAUGACAUGCCUUUCUGUUUUUGGUACAUACUAGUACAUCUAUGUAUUAACCAUGUUCUUACAUCGAACUAAUGUUCUUGUGUAUCCCUCAUCAAUCACUUAUGACGAUGCAGGUAGGCAAGGGGACUACUCCUCAUUUAAAUAAUGCAGCGUCAGCCUCCCGACAUGAUUCUCAAGAAACAGAAAUGCUAGAUGAAGAUAGUGAACGUAGCUCUGUAGUUGAUUACAGCAUUUCCCCUACACAAGCAUCGCAGAUGCUUGCUCUAACUUGGCAGCGUGAUAUGUGGUUGCAUGUUGCAUAUGGUGUCUAGAUUGUAAUUCUUCCAAUCUGGUUAAACUGCAUGUGCUAGUCUUCUUAGCUUAUACAUUAUACCUGUUAAUGUGACAUGCCUUCCUGUAUUUAGUACAUAGUACAUCUGUCUAUUAAGCAUGUCCUUACAUAAAACUAUUGUUUUUUUGUAUCCCGCAUCAAUCAACAUGAUGAGACACCUUUAGUAUAUGCAAUGCGAUAUUAGUUGCAUCUUUCAUAUGAUUUAUAGCAUGCGCUGCUUCUAAUUUGUUGAAAUUCCAUUUCUGAUUGGACGCUUUUAACUUGGCAGAGUCAUAUUGGUUGCAUCUUUCAUGUGGUGUCUAGCUUGCAUUGCUUCUUAUUUGCUGGAAUGGUUUCUGCUUAGUUUACACAAACAGUUGUGAACAUGCCAUGUCGUCCUGUUUUUCGUACAUAUUCCAUCCUGGUAUCAUGUGUUUGCCUUACAUCAAAGUAGUGAUUGUCAGUAUCAUGCAUGAAUGAGUUCUGAAGAGAGAAUUUUAUUGCUUUUUCUUGUCGGUUUUACUUGACAAUUCAAAAUCAAUAAAGCGGAAGGAAGUUAGCAAGGCAGCGGAUAAAGGUGCUCCUUCCGAACGGAGGGCCUCUACAGUUUCUACUCCUCCACACCCCCAAGAUGAUUUCCAAGACAACACAUGCAUAGACACUCAACAAAGCUGUGUUUAUGAUGAGCACGUCUCCCCUAGUGCAGCAUCACCGGUGCUCCCUCUAACUUGGCACUGUUAUAUGUGGUUGCAUGUUAUGUGUGACGUCUAGCUUGUAUUGCUUCUAAUUUUGUUGAAUUCCAUCUUCUUACUUUACACAUUAUACUUGAAUAAGACACGUGUUCCUGUUUCUAGAACAUACAAUAUCUGUCUAUCACACCAUGUUCUUACAUCAAAUUACUACUGUUGUGUAACCUGCAACAAUCACUUAUCAUAAGACACGUUUGACUUCAGAGUGUGAUAUCGGUUACAUCUCACAUUCUUUUCUACCUUGUACUACUAAUUUGUUGAAAUGGCACUUAUGACGAGACAGUUUUAACUUAGUAGAGUGAUAUUCGUUGCAUCUUUCAUAUGGUGUCUAGCUUUCAUUGCUUCUAAUUUGUUGAAAUGCCUUCUCCUUAGUUUACAUAUCAUAAGCUGUGAAUAUGCAAUGCUGUGAAUAUGCAAUGGCACUAAUGACGAGAGACCUCUAACAUGGUAGUGUAAUGUUGUUUGCAUCUUGCAUAUGAUUUAUUUCUUGUACUGCUUCACAUUUGUUUAAACGCCAUUUAUGAUGAGACACUGUUAACUUGGCAGAGCGAUAUUUGUAGCAUCUUUCAUAUGGUGUCUACCUUCCAUUGCAUUGCUUCUAAUUUGGUGAAAUGUCUUCUUCUUAGUUUACACAUCAUAGUUCUGGUUAUCCCUUCCAUCCUAUUUUUCAUACAUAUUACAUCCUCCUAUCAUGUGGUUGUCUAACAUCAAAGUUCGGUUCGUCUGCAUCACGCAUCAAUUUGUUCUGAAGAACUAAAUUGUUAUUCGUUUUUCUUGUCGGCUUGACUUAACAUGGCACAAAGAAAGAGGAAGAAACACAGAAUGGCAGGGAAUGAGAAGUGGAUAAAUCCUGCAGAUUCUGCUGGUACUGAUGGUGCAAUAGAAGGUCAAAGUCCAGCAGAAAAUUCUACAAACACGGCAUCCCAUGCUACACGAGUUGCAAAAAAAUCCAAACAGAAACAAAUAGCUGCCACCAAACAAGCAGAGACAGCCCUAGUUCUUGCAACACCUACCACAGUACUACCAGCUGCACGACUUACUCAUGCGUCAACUGAGCUAGCAGCACGUUCCCAAGCUCCCUUGCCACCUGACACUACUUCCCAAGCACUCUUGACACAAGAUGAUUUGGCAAUAUCAGAUGAACCUUGUGAGCUUCAACAACAAGAAGGUAGUUGCUGGAGUCAAGUUAUAGUUGCAUGCUUCUUUAUAUGUAGUCUCACAGUUUGAUGUACACUAGCACUUCCUAUGUUCGUUGUUGGACUAGCACCUAGGCGCAAGAGGAAACAAACAUCAGGGAUAAUGCUCGAUAGGUUAACUAAAUCUAGAGGAGGAAGAAUGGAGAUCCGUUUUGAGGCAGGUUUAAAAAGUCCACGUGAUGCUACAGAGUCAGCCAAGUUAGUAUCAGAGGCAGCGGUUGCUGUUAGGUGUCAUGUACGUAUCCUCCCAACAUGGAUUCAGUACAGGAAUGACAAAGACGAAACCCAGUUCAACACCUUCCUCGACCAUUUAUCUGUAAGUAUGGUUAUGUAUGGAAACUAGUAAUAUCGUCUUGCUCUGUCCCAUACUUUCUAGGUUGCUGGUAAUGAGACUCCCAUACUUUUCAACAGAUGAGGUUCAAGUUGGAUAGCCAAGAUGAUGUAACCAGACAAGCUUGCACCCAUGUUUUCAAGUCUGCUCUGCGACAGUAUCGGUAUAACUUGAGGAAAACUCACUUUGAAGGCAAGGCUAACAGUGAACUUUCCCAAACAUCUCGAGUGGAAAAUAUAUCAGAUGAAGACUGGAGGGGCCUUGUUAAACACUGGUCUGAUCCGAAGUAUCAGGUACAUUAUAUAUAUGUGAUCAGAUCACAUGUUGAAGUCCUAUUUACGCAUGUGCCACACAAAUCUAUCUUCUUGUAGAUGAACUGUUCAAAGAACAAGGCCAGCCGUACGAAAGUGAAAUUCCAACAGACGACAGGAUCUCGUAGCUAUAUUGCACACUGCGAGGCUCUUGUAAUUAGCUGUUGUUUCACUCUUUUCGCUGUACCAUAUUAUCAGAUCUAUAUUGACUUGUUCGAAAUGCAGAGGAAAGCCUGCAAGGACCAAAAAGUACAUGAACCAAAUGCUAUGGAAAUCUUCAAGGACUGUCACACCAGCAAGAAGAAGGGCAUGACUACACUAGUCAAAGCCGCUGUUGUAAAUCCUUAAUCCUCAUGCCUUUUAACUACUACUUACUCUGACUUGUGCCUUGAACUGCAUGGUUUGCAGCCAAUGUCUAUUACUCUUUUCAAUUUUAUACACAAUUUUCUUAGCGUAUCAUUGCGCCUUACAAGGUUUAAAAGAGAGGAGUGAUGUUCCUUUGAUCUUGACCCGUAAUCUAUUUAUGUGUUGGACUUGCCCACACAACGUUACAAUUGCAUGUUUGUCUGUUCUCAGUUGUUUUGUGAUAUGAAUGAUGUCAUACUAUGCUUAUCGUAUUAUAAACUUCGUCUCUUUAUCCUUAGCCCUCAAUACAAUGUGAAGAAAUAGACAAUACAUUAGCGAUGGUACAUGGUCAUAUGUUUGGAACCUGGUUUUAUUAUGUACUUUGCAAUAAAAUACAACUAAUAUUUUACAUGGGUUCACCAGAAUAAGUUCUGUAUAUAGAACAAAGCUAUUUUGUUUGGUUUUGCUGCCUCCUUAAUAUCUUCUGUCCUGGUACUACUAAUGUAAAACCUCAACUUUUCAGCGAGCUAUGGAAAAAUGGUGGAACCGCCACCUUCUAAAGGUGGCGAGGCAACUAUAACCGCAAUGUUAGCUCUUGCUGUAGUGGGUCAGUACCUGUCCACUAACAGUGCCAAAAGCGCGUUCCUGCGUAAUACUGGGUUGGUUGUUAAGGCAAUAUCGUCCAAACUGCCUCAUGAUCAAGAUAUGCAAGCUCAAAGCAAUUUUGUAUCUGCGCUCUAGACACAAGUCCAUUCCCUAACAGAGUCCCUUUGUGAAACAAGGAGAAACAUUGCUCAAUGUCGUCAAGAUAUGCAUGGUUUUGAAACCAGACUAUCAGACAUUUGCUAUCUUGUUUAGGAGCCUAGGGGAAAUGAAGGCGAGGGUUAUGGUGCUCCAUCGGACAAUACAGCAUGAAAAUGUAACGGUCAGGUCAAAUGAACUGAGCUUCUGAACUUCUGGUGGUGCAUUUAUCUGCUAGACUGUUAAGUUUUAUGCCAACCUUCCUUUUGUUAUAUAGUUGUAAUUUGUUUUGGUGCGAUACAAAAUUUAUUCUUAGCGUGCAGCCACCGGCUGAAGAAAACAGCAAGCCAUUUUUGUAUAGUGUAGGGUGUUCCCUAUAUUUGCACUGGUGGCGAUCUUUGAUGCCGAGUGGAUGUAAUUUGUGCAAUCGCCUUAAUAGCCUAGCGUUAGUUUAGGCCUUAUUUAUUUCCUAGUCUUCUUUUUCACUGGUUUGCUAGUGGCCGCAACUACCAUGGGCCAUAUACGGGCCGUAGGAUCCAUGGGUCUCCUACGGGCCGUCGAUAAUGGGCAUGUAUCGGUGGGCCUCGGGCUGUUGGAUAAAUGGGUCUACAUGGGCCAUAAUCGGGCGUAUUUGGUAUCGGCCCAGCACGGUAACAGGUCGUUAACAUGCCGUAGGAUAGCAAAGGCUUAAUUUUAUCACAGGUAUAACAGGUCGUUAAUGGGCCAGAAUAUAGGACGGGCUGGAAACGGUGCAACGGGUUAACAGGCCAGAAACGGGUCGACUCUUGCCAUGGGCCGAAUUUGGCCCAUUAGGGUAACAUGCUAGUAACAGGCCGACUCUUGCCAUGGGAUGAAUUUGGCCCAUUAGGGGAACAGGCCAGUAACGGGCCGACUCUUGCCAUGGGCCGAAUUUGGCCCAUUAGGGGAACAGGCCAGUAACGGGCCGGAAGUAAUCGAGAGCCUAAAAGGAGCCCAAGAACGUAUGGGCCGUCAAUAGGCUGAAAGCUAACACGGGCUAGAAACGGCCCAUGUAAAUCACAGGUCAUUAACGGGUAUAAAGAAAAUUACUGUUCAUUAUGGGCUAGAGUCACCAUGGGCCUGUAAAGGGCCGAAAGAUAUGAAGGCCUCAUAUGGGCCGAAAGACAUCGUGGGCCAUACAUGGGCCGAAAGUGAAAUGGGCUGGUGUUAUAUUCGACGGCCCACAUGACGUUGUUGGGCCGAUUUCCUUUAGGGCCUAACGGGCCGUGAGUUAACGGGCCAUAAAAUGGGCUAUUUGCGAAGAGACCGUUAACAGGCUUUUCAUGGGCCAGCCCGUUAACUUUUGACCAAGUCAAACGGGCCGGCUUUGUAAGCUAAAUGGGCUAGUGGUGGGCCGUGGCAUGUGUCGACAUAUCAUAGGCGCCUAUCUGACCCACUGACGAGCUGACACGUGUUUCGUCCAGCCAAUAAGAAUUUUACACGUGGAAAUUUCCCAUUGGUCAGGGCUGUUAACGGGUUAUCGGAUCCAAAACCCGACCCGAUAGCUUAACGGUGUUCCAUUAUGAUGGAUGCCACGUGUCGGUCACCCUUAACGAAAGCACUUCUGUGACGCGCGAUUUAUCGUCAUGGAAGUGGACACUUCCGUGAUGAUAAUUUUGGUAAUGUCAUGGAACACUUCUACGACAGCACAUGUAUGACUAUCUUGAUUCUGUCAUAAAAUCGUCAUGGAUGUACAUGCAUGACAAAAAACGCGACCUACUGUGACAAACACGUAUCAUCACGGAAGUGUAUUUUUUUUGUAGUGCAAGGAGGAACUGACUAAGGCCUUAGCAGCCAUGGAGAAGCUGAAGGAAAAUUUUAAGAAGGAACGUGCAGAUUGGGAUGCCGAGAAGGCCGCUUUGGCAAAGAAAGUCGAAGACGCAGAAGCAGCCCUUAAACCGGUGGUUGAGGAACUGAUCGGUUUAAAGCGGCAAAUAAACGCUAUGACUUCUGCUGUGUUUGGUAAGUGCCCUCAUAUGGUAUGUUUCAAGUCCCCUUUACCUUAUCAGUUACCGGUUUACUGAUGCUCGCAAUGUCAUAGGGACCCGCAUUACCCAUCUGGGCUCCGAUAUGCGGAUCAAGCUGAAGGCAGCCUACACCUUGAUAGAACAGUUGUAUUCCGGAUCCCAAUGGGCUAUCUGCACUGCUGCUUACAACAGGCCUCCUCCCACAUUCAUAAAAGAAACCAUCGAGAAGCUGUCCAUCUUGCCUGCCCGGUUGGAGGAACUUAAAAAAUCAGUUGCAAGGUCAGGCGCACUGACUGCGCUAAUCCGGGCCAAGGCAUGGAUUCCAGAUCUUGAACCGGCAGAUAUUGGCCAAGGCUACCCCAGCGUGAAGGAAGAUGGUACAGGAUUCAACAAUGAUGAUCUCCGAAGGCUGACAAGGGAAAUGCGUCCUAUAGCAAGCAAAUUCGUGGAUGAAACAGAUCUGUCUCAUUAUCAGCCGGUUUACGAUGUUGAUCAGAAAAGAUAUCCUGCGUCGAUACAUGAUGUAGAGGAUCUUGUUCCGCCAAUCCGUAAGCACACUUAUGCCCCUGACAUUGAUCCUUCCCCCCUUAUAAGUGAAGAAGUCGUAUUCCAAGCGUUAACCGGAAUCGAUUGGACAACAGUUGAUUUCCAGCCACUGGGUAGAGAGGAGGAGGAUACACCAACUCAAGAUGGUCCACAAUCUUCAAGUCGUCCUGUGGAUGAAUCCUGAACUAGAGGCCGGCUUAUUUGUCACAGUCUGCCACUCGUUGUUGAAAUAAUUAUUCUGUGUGGGUAUUUAAAGCACCUUAUAAUAGGCUAGUUCAAACACUUGUCUGUUAUGCCAUCGAGCAUACUUUGUUUUGCUUGAUAUUUUGAUAACUCGCCGUGCUUUUGGGAUCUAUUAUAUGCAUAAUCCACAGUGGCUUAUUUAACUUGUUCCUGCAUACAAGAAAUUUGAAAGUGUCCUAGCGGUUUACCGCUGGACGGGUCAUGAUGCCCAAAUACAUAUAUAACCAAGGCUGUAACAUCUGGAUAUAAAAUAGAUGAUACCUGUGAUAUAUCUCGUUGGCUUACCAAUUGUUGUUAUACCAAGGGUGAUAACACCAAUAUGGAGUAUUAAUGGCUCCUUUUGUCCUUGCCGAUUUAUAUCUAAACCAUACCGGGCUAUGAUAAACACCGGUUUAACCAUAUAAUACUGGUGACUUGUAGUUAAAACCAUACCAAAGCAAAAAACACCGGAUUAUAGCUGAUCAUGUACUGACAGUUUAGAAUUGUAAGACACGCUGGGUUGUAAUAAACGCCGGUUUAUCAGAAAAUAUGUAUGAAUCUUUAUCAAAAGAGAAGAAACUUUGCAAAAAAUACAAGAAGAACAUGCAAGGCUUUUCAUGGGCUGCCAGGCCCUAAAUCGAGGAUUUUCAUGGGCUGCCAGGCCACUGAGUUAAACCAUUUUUCAAAGCCUUUUAAGAUGGACCUCAAUCUUUAACCAAUCAUCGUUUUAACUUUGACAAGUUCAGGGUCUAUGAGAUUGACUUAUCAAAUGUUCGAUGGGUCAUACCAGGUUUACCUGGACGGAGUGGCUUACUUAAAGAGGCAGGAUAACCUGGGGUUUUAGGUGAAUACACCUGGCUUCCAAGCCUGGCUUGAUAGCCUAUUACAAGGGUGCAAGCUCAUUGUUCUUUGAGAAGCAAGGAGCCCCCAAGUAAUAUUUGAGCUGUGCUCAGUGGGUACCUAUGUUUGAGUUGUGCUUUUUGCAACAGACUCUCUUUGGUUCCACAUAAUUUCAUUUUGGCUUUGAGCAUAUCAAGAGGUGUAGCUAUGGUGUAAAUACAACCAAGCCCCCUAGUGAUUUACCUUUUUGGCCUUAAGCCGAUCAAGAGGCGUAGCUAUGGUUCGAAUAUGACCAAGCCCCUAGUGAUUUCCUUUAUAUCUGUGUGGCUUUAUAAGCUGGGUUAGUAGAACUCCGCUUUAUGGGUAGAAGCUCCCAUGUAACCACACAUGAUGUAAAAACAAAGAGAUCCCGCUUUAGCUGAGGCUUCGGUUUAUUAUAUAUACAUUGUCAUAAGUAUGUACAUAAGAAGAGCCUAUGGCUCAAGUAUAGUAAGGCCGAAGAAUAGCUAUAUUCCACGGCUGCUGGGUCUCCUCCUCCGAUUUACGUGAGUCCUUGUGCUCUCGAACAUCGAUAAGGUAGUAUGACCCAUUGUGCAAAUUUUUGUUGACCACAAAAGGCCCUUCCCAAGGUGAGGAUAACUUGUGCAUAUCAGUUUGAUCCUGGAUGAGCCGGAGCACCAGAUCGCCUUCUUGAAAGGCUCUAGUUUUAACCCGGCGGCUGUGAUAGCGUCGGAGAUCUUGUCGAUAAAUUGCCGAACAUGCUGCCGCAAGAUCACGCUCCUCAUCUAACAGGUCCAGUGAGUCCUGACCUGCUUUCUCAUUAUCAACUUCAACAUAAGCUGCCACACGGGGCGAGUCAUGACAGAUGUCACUAGGGAGAACCACCUCUGCUCCGUAAACCAUGAAGAAAGGCGUGUAACCCGUCGAUCUGUUUGGUGUGGUGUUGAUACUCCAUAACACGGAAGGUAACUCCUCCACCCAACAACCCGGUGUCCGCUUUAAAGGAAACAUAAGCCGGGGUUUGAUACCUCUCAAAAUCUCUUGAUUUGCCCUCUCUGCUUGACCAUUAGAUUGAGGGCGAGCCACUGAUGACACAUCAAGUCGGAUGUGCUCACGUUGACAAAAUUCUUCCAUAGAACCUUUGGACAGAUUAGUACCAUUAUUAGUUAUAAUGCUGUGUGGAAAGCCAAACCGGAAUAUCACCUUUUUAUGAAUUGAACCGCUGUGGCCGCAUCACACUUGCUGACUGGUUCUGCCUCUACCCACUUGGUAAACUUAUCAACCGCCACCAACAGGUGGGUCUUCUUAUCCUUGGACCUCUUAAAGGGUCCAACCAUAUCUAGCCCCCAAGUUGCAAAUGGCCAAGUGAUUGGGAUCAUUCUUAAUUCCUGAGCCGGAACAUGAGCGCGGCGUGCAAACUUUUGACAACCGUCACACCUCUUUACCAAAUCCUCGGCAUCAGCAUGAGUCGUCAACCAAUAGAAGUUGUGACGAAAAGCCUUAGCCACCAAGGAUUUUGAACCGGCGUGGUGACCACAAUCACCUUCGUGGAUCUCUCGCAAAAUCUCACAACCCUCUUGAGGAGACACACAACGCUGAAUUGCUCUUGUAACACUGCAAUGAUGUAGCUCCCCGUUGACAAUGGCCAUUGACUUGGAUCGCCGGAUUAUCUACCGGGCCAAGGUUUCAUCAUCUGGCAACUCGCCUCGGUUCAUGUAAGCCAGGUACGGGACUAUCCAAUCUGGUAUAACAUGCAGAGCCGCCACCAACUGGGCCUCCGGGUCAGGAAUAACCAACUCCUCCUCUAUGGGUAUCUUGACCGACGGAUUAUGAAGUACGUCUAGGAAGACAUUAGGUGGCACCGGUUUACGCUGAGAGCCUAGGCGACUUAAAGCGUCUGCCGCUUCAUUCUUUCGCCUGUCUAUAUGGCCAACUUGAUAACCCUUGAAAUGACCAGCCAGUAUGUCCACCUAUUGUUGAUAUGAAGCCAUGAGUGGAUCCCUAGAAUCCCAAGUGACAGAUACCUGCUGAGCCACCAGGUCCGAGUCACCGAAGCACUUAACCCGGCUUAAGUUCAUAUCCUUAGCCAUCCAAAGACCAUGGAGUAAGGCCUCAUACUCAGCUGCAUUGUUAGUGCAAGGGAACAUUAAGCGGAGAACAUAAAAAAACUUGUCACCUCGUGUGGAAGUUAAUAUGACUCCAGCCCCCGAGCCCUCCAAUUGUCUAGACCCAUCAAAAUGAAUGGUCCAAUAUGUGUUAUCUGGAUUUUCCUCCGGUGCCUGCAACUCUGUCCAAUCAUUGAUGAAGUCCACAAGUGCUUGGGAUUUGAUUGUUGUGCGAGGCGUAUAUUUUAUCCCGUGAGGUCCAAGCUCAAUAGCCCACUUGGCAAUCCGGCCAGUUGCUUCUCUGUUUUGAAUGAUAUCUCCCAGAGGGGCUGAACUAACCACUGUGAUAGGAUCACCCUGAAAAUAAUGCUUGAGCUUCUGGCUUGCCAUAAAAACCCCAUACACCAGCUUCUGCCAAUGCGGGUACCUCUGCUUUGAUUCGAUAAGCACCUCACUGAUGUAAUAAACCGGUCGUUGAACCCGAUACUCCUUUCCGGCCUCCUUGCACUCCACAACAAUAGCCACACUAACAACACGGGCAUUAGCAGCCACAUAUAGCAAUAAGGGUUCUUUAUCGACCGGAGCCGCAAGGACAGACGGUUUAGCUAACUGUCUCUUCAAGUCCUCAAAUGCUUUAUCAACCGCGUCACUCCAGACAAAGUCAUCCGUUUUCUUUAACAUCUGAUAUAAAGGGAUAGCCUUCUCCCCAAGGCGACUGAUAAACCAGCUCAAAGCCGCAAUCCGGCCCGCCAAACGCUGAACGUCAUUGAUACAUGCCGGUUUAGCUAGAGAUGUGAUAGCUGUGAUCUUUUCCGAAUUACCUCAAUGCCCCUGUUAGACACCAGAAAACCCAAGAGCUUGCCUGCAGGAACACCAAAGACACAUUUGGCCGGAUUAAGCAUCAUCUUAUAAACCCGAAGGUUAUUAAAAGUCUCCUUCAAGUCAUCUAUCAAUGUUUCCUCCUUCCUAGAUUUCACCACAAUAUCAUCCACAUAAGCAUGAACAUUGCACCCAAUCUGUUUAUGAAGACAAUUCUGAACACAGUGCUGAUAAGUCGCCUGGGCACUCUUGAGCCCAAAAGGCAUAUAUACAUAGCAGAAGGCUCCAAAGGGAGUUAUGAUAGUUGUCUUCUCUUGGUCCUUAACUGCCAUUUUGAUCUGAUGAUAACCGGAAUAAGCAUCCAGAAAGCACAAACGGUCACAACCCGCCAUAGCAUCGAUAAUCUGAUCAAUACGAGGGAGGGCAAAGGGAUCAGCUGGACAAGCCUUGUUCAAGUCCGUGUAGUCCACACACAUAUGCCAAGUGUCGUUUUUCUUAAGAACCAGGACCGGAUUAGCUAGCCACUCAUGGUGACAGACCUCCACGAUAAACCCUGCUGCCAACAGCCGAGCUACCUCCUCCCCAAUAGCCUUACGCCUUUCUUCGUUGAAGCGGCGAAGAAACUGCCUGACCGGUUUAAACUUAGGAUCUAUAUUAAGUGUGUGCUCAGCGAGUUCCCUCGGUACACCUGGCAUGUCAGAGGGCUUCCAUGCAAAGAUGUCUCGGUUCUCACGGAUGAACUCGAUGAGCGUGCUUUCCUAUUUGGGAUCCAGGUUAGCGCUGAUGCUGAACUGCUUGGAUGAAUCGCCAGGAACAAAGUCAACCAUCUUAGUGUCUGUAGCCGAUUUAAAUUUCCACGCGGGAUCAUGCUCUGUAGUUGGCUUUUUCAGAGAAGUCAUGUCCGCCGGAUCAACAUUGUCCUUAUAAAACUUCAGCUCCUCUGUGGCACAAACCGACUCAGCAUAAGCCACAUCACCUUCUUCACACUCCAAAGCAAUCUUCCUGCUCCCAUGUACUGUGAUGGUCCCCUUAUGACCCGGCAUCUUAAGCUGCAGAUAAACAUAACACAGCCUUGACAUGAACUUAGCAUAAGCCGGCCGGCCGAAUAGGGCAUGAUAUGGACUCUUGAUUUUCACCACUUCAAAAGUCAACGUUUCUAAUCUUGAAUCAUGAUCAUCUCCAAAAGCCACCUCUAGAGCUAUCUUGCUAACUGGAUACGCCAAUUUACCAGGCACCACACCAUGAAAGAUGGUGCUCGAUGGUUUAAGGUUCUUAUCUGUCAGCCCCAUACGGCGGAAGGUAUCAUAGUAAAGGAUAUUGAUACUGCUUCCCCCAUCCAUAAGCACCUUGGUGAACUUAUACCCCCCAACUUGAGGUGCCACCACUAAGGCCAGAUGACCCGGAUUAUCAACCCGGGGCGGGUGAUCCUCUCGACUCCAUAAAAUGGGUUGUUCAGACCAGCGCAGAUACUGAGGUACCGCCGGUUCAACGGAGUUCAUGGCCCUUUUAUGAAGCUUCUGAUCGCGCUUACACAAGCUAGUGGUAAAGACAUGAUACGCCCACUAUUUAACUGCUUCGGAUUGCUCUGAUAACCCUAUUGUUGCUGCUGCUGAGCCCCCUGAUGGUUAUAACCUCCCUGAUUGCCCUGAUUGCCUUGAUUGCCAUGUCUGGUUUGAUUACCUUGGAAUCCUGAACCGGAACCGUUACCUCCAUAACCUGGCCCAUGAAAAUUGUUGGGCAACGUAGUAAUUUCAAAAAAAUCCUACGCACACGCAAGAUCAUGGUGAUGCAUAGCAACGAGAGGGGAGAGUGUUGUCUACGUACCCUCGUAGACUGGCAACGGAAGCGUUGACACAACGUAGAGGAAGUAGUCGUACGUCUUCCCGAUCCGACCGAUCCAAGUACCGAACGUACGGCACCUCCAAGUUCUGCACACGUUCAACUCGGUGACGUCCCUCGAGCUCCGAUCCAGCCGAGUGUUGAGGGAGAGUUUCGUCAGCACGACGGCGUGAUGACGGUGAUGAUGUUCUACCGACACAGGGCUUCGCCUAAGCACCGCUACGAUAUGACCGAGGUGGAAUAUGGUGGAAGGGGGCACCGCACACGGCUAAGGAACGAUCACAAAGAUCAACUUGUGUGUCAUGGGGCGCCCCCUGCCCCCGUAUAUAAAGGAGGGAGGGGGGAGGUGCGGGCGGCCCCUAGGGGUGCGCCUGGAGGAGUCCUACUCCCACCGGGAGUAGGACUCCCCCCUCUUGCCUUGUUUGGAGAAGGAAAGGGGAAGGGGGGAAGAGGAAAGGGGGGCGCCGCCCCGCCCAUUCCUUGUCCUAUUCGGACUAGAGGGGAGGGGGCGCGCGGCCUGCCCUGGCCAGCCCUCCUCUUCUCCCUUAGGGCCCAUGUAGGCCCAUUAACCCCCGGGGGGUUCCGGUAACCCCCCGGUACUCCGGUAAAAUCCCGAUUUCACCCGGAAUGAUUCCGAUAUCCAAAUAUAGGCUUCCAAUGUAUCAAUCUUUAUGUCUCGACCAUUUCGAGACUCCUCGUCAUGUCCGUGAUCACAUCCGGGACUCCGAACAACCUUCAGUACAUCAAAACACAAAAACCCUAAUUACGAUCGUCACCGAACUUUAAGCGUGCGGACCCUACGUGUUCGAGAACUAUGUAGACAUGACCGAGACACGUCUCCGGUCAAUAACCAAUAGCGGAACCUAGAUGCUAAUAUCGGUUCCUACAUAUUCUACGAAGAUCUUUAUCGGUCAAACCGCAUAACAACAUACAUUGUUCCCUUUGUCAUCGGUAUGUUACUUGCCCGAGAUUCGAUCGUCGGUAUUCCAAUACCUAGUUCAAUCUCGUUACCGGCAAGUCUCUUUACUCGUUCCAUAAUACAUCAUUCUGCAACUAACUCAUUAGUUGCAAUGCUUGCAAGGCUUAAGUGAUGUGCAUUACCGAGUGGGCCCAGAGAUACAUCUCCGACAAUCGGAGUGACAAAUCCUAAUCUCGAAAUACACCAACCCAACAAGUACCUUCGGAGACACCUGUAGAGCACCUUUAUAAUCACCCAGUUACGUUGUGACGUUUGGUAGCACACAAAGUGUUCCUCCGAUAAACGGGAGUUGCAUAAUCUCAGUCAUAGGAACAUGUAUAAGUUAUGAAGAAAGCAAUAGCAACAAACUAAAUGAUCAAGUGCUAAGCUAACGGAAUGGGUCAAGUCAAUCACAUCAUUCUCCUAAUGAUGUGAUCUCGUUAAUCAAAUGACAACUCAUGUCUAUGGUUAGGAAACGUAACCAUCUUCGAUCAACGAGCUAGUCAAGUAGAGGCAUACUAGUGACACUCUGUUUGUCUAUGUAUUCACACAUGUAUUAUGUUUCCGGUUAAUACAAUUCUAGCAUGAAUAAUAAACAUUUAUCAUGAUAUAAGGAAAUAAAUAAUAACUUUAUUAUUGCCUCUAGGGCAUAUUUCCUUCAGUCUCCCACUUGCACUAGAGUCAAAAAUCUAGUUCACAUCGCCAUGUGAUUUAACAUCAAUAGUUCAGAUCACCAUGUGAUUAACACCCAUAGUUCACAUCGUCAUGUGACCAACACGCAAAGGGUUUACUAGAGUCAAUAAUCUAUUUCACAUUGCUAUGUGAUUAAUACCCAAAGAGUACUAAGGUGUGAUCAUGUUUUGCUUGUGACGGAAGUUUAGUCAAGGGUCUACCACAUUCAGAUCCGUAUGUAUUUUGCAAAUUUCUAUGUCAACAAUGCUCUGCACGGAGCUACUCUAGCUAAUUGCUCCCACUUUCAAUAUGUAUCCAGAUUGAGACUUUGAGUCAUCUGGAUCAGUGUCAAAACUUUCAUCGACGUAACCCUUUACGACGAACCUUUUGUCACCUCCAUAAUCGAGAAACAUAUCCUUAUUCCACUAAGGAUAAUUUUGACCAAUGUCCAGUGAUCUACUCCUAGAUCACUAUUGUACUCCCUUGCCAAACACAGGGCAGGGUAUACAAUAGGUCUGGUACACAGCAUGGCAUACUUUAUAGAACCUAUGCCUGAGGCAUAGGGAAUGACUUUCAUUCUCUCUCUAUCUUCUGCCAUGGUCGGGUUUUGAGUCUUACUCGGUUUCACACCUUGUAACACAGGCAAGAACUCUUUCUUUGACUGUUCCAUUUUGAACUACUUCAAAAUCUUGUCAAGGUAUGUACUCAUUGAAAAACUUAUUAAGCGUCUUGAUCUAUCUCUAUAGAUCUUGAUGCUCAAUAUGUAAGCAGCUUCAAUGAGGUCUUUCUUUGAAAAACUCCUUUCAAACAUUCCUUUAUGCUUUGCAGAAUAAUUCUACAUUAUCUCCGUCAACAAUAUGUCAUUCACAUAUACUUAUCAGAAAUACUGUAGUGCUCCCACUCACUUUCUUGUAAAUACAGGCUUCACCGCAAGUCUGUAUAAAAUUAUAUGCUUUGAUCAACUUAUCAAAGCAUAUGUUCCAACUCCGAGAUGCUUGCACCAAUCCAUAGAUGGAUUGUUGGAGCUUGCAUAUUUUGUUAGUACCUUUAGGAUUGACAAAACCUUCUGGUUGCAUCAUAUACAACUCUUCUUUAAUAAAUCCAUUAAGGAAUGCAGUUUUGCUUAUCCAUUUGCCAGAUUUCAUAAAAUGCGGCAAUUGCUAACAUGAUUUCGACAGACUUAAGCAUAGAUACGAGUGAGAAACUCUCAUCGUAGUCAACACCUUGAACUUGUCGAAAACCUUUUUGCGACAAUUCUAGCUUUGUAGAUAGUAACACUACUAUCAGCGUCUGUCUUCCUCUUGAAGAUCCAUUUAUUUUCUAUGGCUUGCCGAUCAACGGGCAAGUCAACCAAAGUCCACACUUUGUUCUCAUACAUGGAUCCCAUCUCAGAUUUCAUGGCCUCAAGCCAUUUCAUGGAAUCUGGGCUCAUCAUUGCUUCCUCAUAGUUCGUAGGUUCGUCAUGGUCAAUUAACAUGAUCUCCAGAACAGGAUUACCGUACCACUCUGGUGCGGAUCUCACUUUGAUUUACCUAUGAGGUUCGGUAGUAACUUGAUCUGAAGUUACAUGAUCAUCAUCAUUAGCUUCCUCGCUAAUUCGUAUAGGUGUCACAGAAACCGGUUUCUGUGAUGUACUACUUUCCAAUAAGGGAGCAGGUACAGUUACCUCAUCAAGUUCUACUUUUCUCCCAUUCACUUCUUUCGAGAGAAACUCCUUCUAUAGAAAGGAUCCAUUCUCAGCAACGAAUAUCUUGCCUUCGAAUCUGUGAUAGAAGGUGUACCCAACAUUUUCUUUUUGGGUAUCCUAUGAAAACGCACUACUCCGAUUUGGGUUUGAGCUUAUCAGGUUGAAAAAUUUUCACAUAAGCAUUGCAACCUCAAACUUUAAGAAACGACAGCUUAGGUUUCUUGCCAAACCAUAGUUCAUAUGGUGUCGUCUCAACGGAUUUACAUGCUGCCCUAUUUAACGUGAAUGCGACUGUCUCUAAUGCAUAACCCCAAAAUGAUAGUGGUAGAUCGGUAAGAGACAUCAUAGAUCGCACCAUAUCUAAUAAAGUACGGUUAUGACGUUCGGACACACCAUUACACUGUGGUGUUCUAGGUGGCGUGAGUAGUGAAACUAUUUCACAUUGUUUUAACUGAAGGCCAAACUCGUAACUAAAAUAUUUUACUUCUGCGAUCAUAUCGUAGAAACUUUUAUUUUUUGUUAUGAUGAUUCUCCACUUCACUCUGAAAUUCUUUGAACUUUUCAAAUGUUUCAGACUUGUGUUUCAUCAAUUAGAUAUACUCAUAUCUGCUCAAAUCAUCUGUGAAGAUUAAAAAUAAUGAUACCUGCCGCGGGCCUCAAUAUUCAUCUGACCACAUACAUCAGUAUGUAUGAUUUCCAAAAAAUAUGUUGCUCGCUCCAUUGUUUCGGAUAACGGAGUCUUAGUUAUCUUGCCCAUGAGGCAUGGUUCGCAAGCAUCAACUGAUUCAUAAUCAAGUGAUUCCAAAAUCCCAUCAGCAUGGAUUUUCUUCAUGCGCUUUACACCAAUAUGACCUAACCGGCAGUGCCACAAAUAAGUUGCACUAUCAUUAUUAACUUUGCAUCUUUUGGCUUCAAUAUUAUAAAAAUGUGUAUCACCACGAUCGAGAUCCAACAAACCAUUUUCAUUGGGUGUAUGACCAUAGAAGGUUUUAUUCAUGUAAACAGAACAACAAUUAUUCUCUAACUUGCAUGAAUAACCGUAUUGCAAUAAACAUGAUCCAAUCAUAUUCAUGCUCAACGCAAACACUAAAUAACAUUUAUUUAGGUUUAACACUAAUCCCGAAAGUAUAGGGAGUGUGCGAUGAUGAUCAUAUCAAUCUUGGAACCACUUCCAACACACAUCAUCACUUCACCCUUAACUAGUCUGUGUUCAUUCUGCAACUCCCGUUUCGAGUUACUACUCUUAGCAACUGAACCAGUAUCAAAUACCGAGGGGUUGCUAUAAACACUAGUAAAGUACACAUCAAUAACCUGUAUAUCAAAUAUACCCUUGUUCACUUUGCCAUCCUUCUUAUCCACUAGACAUUCAGGGCAUUUCCGCUUCCAAUGACCAGUCCCUUUGCAGUAGAAGCACUUAGUCUCAGGCUUAGGUCCAGACUUGGGCUUCUUCACUUGAGUAGCAACUUGCUUGCCGUUUUUCUUGAAGUUCCCUUUCUUUCCCUUGUCCCUUUUCUUGAAACUAGUGAUCUUGUUAAUCAUCAACACUUGAUGCUCUUUCUUGAUUUCUACCUUCAUCGAUUUCAUCAUCAUGAAAAGCUCGGGAAUCAUUUACGUCAUCCCUUGCAUACUAUAGUUCAUCACGAAGUUCUACUAACUUGGUGAUGGUGACUAGAGAAUUCUGUCAAUCACCAUUUUAUCUAGAAGAUUAACUCCCACUUGAUUCAAGCGAUUGUAGUACCCAGACAAUCUGAGCACAUGCUCACUGCUUGAGCUAUUCUCCUCCAUCUUUUAGCUAUAGAACUUGUUGGAGACUUCAUAUCUCUCAAAUCGGGUAUUUGCUUGAAAUAUUAACUUCAACUCCUGGAACAUCUUAUAUGAUCCAUAACGUUCAAAACGUCUUUGAAGUCCCGAUUCUAAGCUGUUAAGCAUGGUGCACUAAACUAUCAAGUAGUCAUCAUAUUGAGCUAGCCAAACAUUCAUAACGUCUGCAUCUACUCCUGCAAUAGGUCAGUCACCUAGCGGUGCAUCAAGGACAUAAUUCUUCUGUGCAGCAAUGAGGAUAAACCUCAGAUCACGGACCCAGUCCGCAUCAUUGCUACUAUCAUCUUUCAACUUAGUUUUCUCUAGGAAAACAUAUAAAACAUAGGGAAGCAAUAACGUGAGCUAUUCAUCUACAACAUAGAUAUGCAAAUACUACAAGGACUAAGUUCAUGAUAAAUUAAAGUUCAAUUAAUCAUAUUACUUAAGAACUCCCACUUAGAUAGACAUCCCUCUAAUCAUCUAAGUGAUUACGUGAUCCAUAUCAACUAAACCAUAACCGAUCAUCACGUGAAAUGGAGUAGUUUUCAAUGGUGGACAUCAUUAUGUUGAUCAUAUCUACUAUAUGAUUCACGCUCGACCUUUCGGUCUCCAGUGUUCCGAGGCCAUAUCUGCAUAUGCUAGGCUCGUCAAGUUUAACCCGAGUAUUUCUGCGUGUGCAAAACUGGCUUGCACCCGUUGUAGAUGGACGUAGAGCUUAUCACACCCGAUCAUCACGUGGUGUCUGGGCACGACGAACUUUGGCAACGGUGCAUACUCAGGGAGAACACUUUUAUCUUGAAAUUUAGUGAGAGAUCAUCUUAUAAUGCUACCAUCAUAACUAAGCAAAGUAAGAUGUAUAAAAGAUAAACAUCACAUGCAAUCAAAAUAUGUGACAUGAUAUGGCCAUCAUUAUCUUGUGCCUUUGAUCUCCAUCUCCAAAACAUCGUCAUGAUUUCCAUCAUCACCGGCAUGACACCAUGAUCUCCAUCAUCUUGAUCUAUAUCAAUGUGUCGUCACAUGGUCGUCUCGCCAACUAUUGCUCUUGCAACUAUUGCUAUCACAUAGCGAUAAUUGUAAAGCAAUUAUUUGGCGCUUGCAUCUUAUGCAAUAAAGAGACAACCAUAAGGCUUCUGCCAGUUGCCGAUAACUUCAACAAAACAUGAUCAUCUUAUACAACAACUUAUAUCUCAUCACGUCUUGACCAUAUCACAUCACAACAUGCCCUACAAAAACAAGUUAGACGUCCUCUACUUUGUUGUUGCAAGUUUUCCGUGGCUGCUACGGGCUUAGCAAGAACCGUUCUUACCUAUGCAUCAAAACCACAACGAUAGUUUGUCAAGUUUGUGUUGUUUUAACCUUCGCAAGGACCGGGCGUAGCCACACUCGGUUCAACUGAAGUUGGAGAAACUGACACCCGCUAAUCACCUGUGUGCAUAGCACGGCGGUAAAACCAGUCUCGCGUAAGCGUACGCGUAAUGUCGGUCCGGGCCGCUUCAUCCAACAAUACCGCCGAACCAAAGUAUGACAUGCUGGUAAGCAGUAUGACUUAUAUCGCCCACAACUCACUUGUGUUCUACUCGUGCAUAUAACAUCAACGCAUAAAACCAGGCUCGGAUGCCACUGUUGGGGAACGUAGUAAUUUCAAAAAAAAUCCUACGCACACGCAAGAUCAUGGUGAUGCAUAGCAACAAGAGGGGAGAGUGUUGUCUACGUACCCUCGUAGACCGGCAACGGAAGCGUUGACACAACGUAGAGGAAGUACUCGUACGUCUUCCCGAUCCGACCGAUCCAAGUACCGAACGUACGGCACCUCCGAGUUCUGCACACGUUCAACUCGGUGACAUCCCUCGAGCUCUGAUCCAGCCGAGUGUUGAGGGAGAAUUUUGUCAGCACAACGGCGUGAUGACGGUGAUGAUGUUCUACCGACGCAGGGCUUCGCUUAAGCACCGCUACGAUAUGACCGAGGUGGAAUAUGGUGGAAGGGAGCACCGCACACAGCAAAGGAACGAUCAAGAAGAUCAACUUGUGUGUCAUGGGGUGUCCCCCUGCCCCCGUAUAUAAAGGAGGGAGGGGGAGGUGCGGCCGGCCCCUAGGGGUGUGCCUGGAGGAGUCCUACUCCCACCGGGAGUAGGACUCCCCCCUCUUGCCUUGUUUGGAGAAGGAAAGGGGAAGGGGAAAGAGGAAAGGGGGGCGCCCCCCCCCCUUCCUUGUCCUAUUCGGACUAGGGGGAGGGGGCACGUGGACUGCCCUGGCCAGCCCGCCUCUUCUCCCUUAGGGACCAUGUAGGCCCAUUAACCCCCGGGGAGGUUCCGGUAACCCCCCGGUACUCCGGUAAAAUCCCGAUUUCACCCGGAACGAUUCCGAUAUCCGAAUAUAGGCUUCCAAUAUAUCAAUCUUUAUGUAUCGACCAUUUAGAGACUCCUCAUCAUGUUCGUGAUCACAUCCGGGACUCUGAACAACCUUCGGUACAUCAAAACACAAAAACCAUAAUUACGAUCGUCAUCGAACUUUAAGCGUGCGGACCCUACGGGUUCGAGAACUAUGUAUACAUGACCGAGACACGUCUUCGGUCAAUAACCAAUAGCGGAACCUGGAUGCUCAUAUUGGUUCCUACAUAUUCUACGAAGAUCUUUAUCGGUCAAACCGCAUAACAACAUACGUUGUUCCCUUUGUCAUCGGUAUGUUACUUGCCCGAGAUUCGAUCGUCGGUAUUCCAAUACCUAGUUCAAUCUCGUUACUGGCAAGUCUCUUUACUCGUUCCGUAAUACAUCAUUCCGCAACUAACUCAUUAGUUGCAAUGCUUGCAAGGCUUAAGUGAUGUGCAUUACUGAGUGGGCCCAGAGAUACCUCUCUGACAAUCGGAGUGACAAAUCCUAAUCUCGAAAUACGCCAACCCAACAAGUACCUUCGGAGACACCUGUAGUGCACCUUUGUAAUCACCCAGUUACGUUGUGACGUUUGGUAGCACACAAAGUGUUCCUCCGGUAAACGGGAGUUGCAUAAUCUCAUAGUCAUAGGAACAUGUAUAAGUUAUGAAGAAAGCAAUAGCAACAAACUAAACGAUCAAGUGCUAAGCUAACGGAAUGGGUCAAGUCAAUCACAUCAUUCUCCUAAUGAUGUGAUCCCAUUAAUCAAAUGACAACUCAUGUCUAUGGUUAGGAAACAUAACCAUCUUCGAUCAACGAGCUAGUCUAGUAGAGGCAUACUAGUGACACUCUGUUUGUCUAUGUAUUCACACAUGUAUUAUGUUUCCGGUUAAUACAAUUCUAGCAUGAAUAAUAAACAUUUAUCAUGAUAUAAAGAAAUAAAUAAUAACUUUAUUAUUGCCUCUAGGGCAUAUUUCCUUCAAAAACCACCUCCUGAACCGCCAGGCGGGCCAUUGUCAUAUUGAAAUAGAUUGGAAUUUUUGAACUCCCGCAUAAUGAAGCAAUCCUUCCAAAGAUGCGAAGCUGGCCUUUCCUUCGAUCCAUGUUUUGGGCAAGGCUGAUUUAACAGGCGCUCCAGAUUGGGACCUGACCCUCCACCCCGCUGGGGCGGUUUACCCUUACGACGCUGACCGUUAUCCUGGGCGGUGGUGUUAGCCACAAAGUCCAAGCUAUUGUCUGCCUUACACUUACCAUUGUUCCCAUGACCUAUCGGGUUAUGCUGCUGCCCAUUGGUACUGUCGUUCUUUUUCCCCUUCCCCGGUUUGUCAUCCUCAGACUCAGGGUCUUUGGUACUAUCUGAAUCGGCAUAUUUAACCACAGCGGUCAUAAGCGUUGACAUGUCAUUGCAGUGGCGUUUGAGCCUUCCCAACUUCAGUUUCAGUGGCAUAAACCGGCAAUUGCCUUCAACAUCAAAACUAAUGUAUCCGCAUUGAUGCGGUCUGAUGAAUGCAGAAUAGCCGAGACUCGCUUCACCCAAUGGGUUGUAGACUCCCCAUCCUCUUGAACACAAGUGGCUAGGUCCACAAUUGACAUAGGCUGCUUACACGUAUCCUUAAAAUUCUCGAUAAACCGGCUUUUUAACUCGGCCCAUGACCCGACAGAGUUAGCUGGUAAACUCUUUAACCAAGUACGAGCUGUUCCUUCCAACAUCAUGGUGAAAUAUUUAGCACACACUACUUCAUCCACAUCCAGCAUCUCCAUCGCCAUCUCUUAACUCUCAACCCAUGACUCAGGGGGUAAAUCAGCAGUGUAAUUGGGCACCUUACGAGGGCCUUUAAAAUCCUUGGGUAGUCGAACAUUACGCAUGGCUGGGGUGAGACACGGCACCCCUAAAGAACUGAAGACCACACCUGGCUCUAUUGAAGUGGUUGGACGGACCGGAGUAAGCUGACGAGCCGCAUGCUGUGCUGCUAACUCGGCUUCUCGACGUGCUCGACCAUGAUCCACCACAUCCUGCGCAUUAGCACCACCACUUGCCGGGUUAUGCCCUCGCGGCGAGUUACGGUGACGCGCACUGCUCGACACAACCGGUUCAUCGAUAUGCCUGCUGUAACUCCGAUUUGGACGGGGGGUGGAAUGAAUCCUCUCACGGCUAUGUGAAUAAGCCUGCUGCUGGGUUAAAGCCGUUUGAAGGAGCUCUCUGGCCCGUCGUGUCUCAAUUGCCACUAGUGACUCGCUGUCAAUUAGGAGUGCUGCCAAUCGUGAAGCGGCGGCCACAAUAUUAUCCAAUGGGUUGGAGUAAUGACCCGGGGUGUUGGAAUGUGCUGCGACAAGAUGUUGUUCUGAUGAGGCGGGUCCAUCGUGCGCGGCUGAACCGGCGCCCCUGUUACUGGUGCCUCCGUCCGGUUUAUCACUGGUUCGUUACUGGUUCCUGCACCUGGCGUGUUGAAGAGAUUUCUUGGCUCAUAAACCAGCGGAAGGUGCGACCGGUAUCUUCUCCUCAUGACAUCAUCUGAGGCACCCUGAUCCAACCUAAGCCGGUAGGCCUGAGCCUCUAACUCGGCCCGCUCUGUAGCCAUCCUGGCGUUUUCUGCUGUCAGGUCUGCUUUAGCCUGAGUUAUCUGAUCCUUUACUUUUGCCACCUCCGCAUUAUGCUGAUCCUGAUCUGCCGGGUUAACUACGGCUGCCGGCAACGUUGCCAAUGCAUUGAAUAAAUCGGACAAAACUUGAGCCGGCGGGGGUGCAGUCCCUCCUGCCCCAGCCGGUGUUGCUGCUACUGAUCCGGAAACUACUGCUGCUGCAGUAGAUGAGUGAUGUGCUGCUUGUGUUCCGGCCAUGAAGAUUGCAACUCGGCUUGGCGGAUCAAGGGGGUCCGGAAUAUUGUCGCCAUCGGAACCACCACUAAUCCGGCCAUCCUGCAGCUGAUACAGUGACUCAGUUUCUCCGGUUGAAGACUCGUCGUCAGAGCAGACAACGAUUUCUCCUCUAGAUGCCGAUCCAUCCUCAUACUCUGCUCCAUGGAUAACUCCCACAAAGGCGCGCUCUAUAGCGGGCUGAACCGGGGCAGACCUCGCACGCUGAGCCGUCUCGAUGAUGUCGGUGCAGAUGUUCGGCUCAGGGCCCGGUUCGCCGAUCUUGCUGAUGAAGACGUGAAUUCCUCCAAAGGGGACCCGGUACCCGUACUCAAUUGAACCGGCCUCGGGACCCCAUCCUGCAUCGUCGAUGUAGAGCUUGCCGCGACGACUCUUAGUCAUCCGGCCCACAGCGUAUCCCUUGAGUCCUUCGAAGCUGCCCUUCAAGAACUCGAAACCAUCGUGUGAUAGCCCCACGGUGGGUGCCAACUGUCGUGGUUUUGUCACGGCACAUGUUCUCAUGAAAGGACUUAGUCGUGGAGACAUCGCUUAUGGGUUAGCUAAAGGGGUUAAAGCGGACAAGGGAUGCAAGAGUUUAUACUGGUUCGGCCCCUUUCGAUGAAGGUAAAGGCCUAAUCCAGUUGUGAUGGUAUUGCUAGGGUUUCAAUGACCAGGGAGCGAAUCCGCUCUUCCUGGCUCUAGAGUUGUUGUGUGUUUUCCCUAAACCGCCGUCGGGUCGUCCCUUUAUAUACAUAGCUUGAUGCCCGCCGGUUUACAGAGUCCCGAGGCCGGAUCAUCAAUGUGUCCAACUCGGUCUCUAUUCCUCCUAUCUUACCAUACAAGUUACAUGAUAAUGUCGGUUUAAUUCUACAGGCCUUAACCCGCCUUUGGGCCUUGGGCCAUCAUAAAGCACCACCAUCCUUUGUCCUCCUGGGCUUCUAAUCCUCAUAGAGUUAACCCGGCCACUCCUGGCCGGUUUAUGUCCAGUAGUAAUAUCCCCAACACCUCUCGACACGGGCAUGAGCAUGAAAUACCAAUUUCAACUCUUGGAACAUCUUAUAUGCUCCAUGUCAUUCAAAACAUUUUUGAAGUCCCGGUUCUAAGCCAUAAAGCAUGGUGCACUAAAAUAUCAAGUAUUAAUCAUACCGAGCUUGUGAAACGUUCAUAAUGUCUGCAUCUGCUCCUGCAACAGUUCUGUCGCCUAGUGAUGCAUCAAGGAUAUAAUACUUCUGUGCAACAUUGAGGAUAAUCCUCAUAUCAUGGAGCUAGUCUGCAUCAUUGCUACUAACAUCUUUCAACUUAUUUUUUCUCUAGGAACAUAUCAAAAAUAAACGGGGAGCUACAUCGCGAGCUAUUGAUCUACAACAUAGUUAUGCAAAUACUAUCAGGACUAAGUUCAUGAUAAAUUAAAGUUCAAUUAAUCAUAUUACUUAAGAACUCCCACUUAGAUAGACAUCCCUCUAAUCAUCUAAGUGAUCACGUGAUCCAUAUCAACUAAACCAUGUCCGAUCAUCACGUGAGAUGGGGUAGUUUUCAAUGGUGAACAUCACUAUGUUGAUCAUAUCUACUAUAUGAUUCACGCUCGACCUUUCGGUCUCAGUGUUUCGAGGCCAUAUCUACAUAUGCUAGGCUCGUCAAGUUUAACCUGAGUAUUCUGUGUGUGCAAAACUGGCUUGCACCCGUUGUAUGUGAACGUAGAGCUUAUCACACCCGAUCAUCACGUGGUGUCUCGGCACGAUGAACUGUCGCAACGGUGCAUACUCAGGGAGAACAAUUAUACCUUGAAAUUUUAGUAAGGGAUCAUCUCAUAACGCUACCGUCGUACUAAGCAAAAUAAGAUGCAUAAAGGAUAAACAUCACACGCAAUCAAAAUAUGUGGCAUGAUAUGGCCAUCAUCAUGUUGUGCCUUUGAUAUCCAUCUCCAAAGUACCAUCAUGAUCUCCAUCGUUGCCGGCAUGACACCAUGAUCUCCAUCAUCUUGAUCUUUAUCAAUGUGUCGUCACAUGGUCGUCUUGCCAACUAUUGCUUUUGCAACUAUUGCUAUUGCAUAGCGAUAAAGUAAAUCAAUUAUAUGGCCUUGCAUCUGAUGCAAUAAAGAGACAACCAUAAGGCUCCUGCCAGUUGUCGAUAACUUUAACAACACAUGAUCAUCUCAUACAACAAUUCAUAUAUCAUCACGUCUUGACCAUAUCACAUCACUACAUGCCCUGCAAAAACAAGUUAGACGCCCUCUACUUUGUUGUUGCAAGUUUCACGUGGCUACUACGGGCUUAACAAGAACCGUUCUUACCUACGCAUCAAAAACCACAACGCAGUAUAGUGAUUGCUUUUUGAUCUUCAAAAAGAACCAUGUUCAUUGAAUCCGAUUCAACUAAAGUUGGAGAAACAGACACCCACUAGCCACAUGUGUGCGAAGCACGUCGGUAGAACCAGUCUCGCGUAAGCGUACGCAUAAUGUCAGUCUGAGCCGCUUCAUCCAACAAUACCGCUGACUCAAAAAUCAACUAGUGACGGUAAGCAAUAUGUAUAUACCCACGCCCACAACUCCUUUGUGUUCUACCGGUGCAUAUAACUGUUGGGGAACGUAGUAAUUUCAAAAAAAUUCCUACGCACACGCAAGAUCAUGGUGAUGCAUAGCAACGAGAGGGGAGAGUGUUGUCCACGUACCCUCGUAGACCGAAAGCGGAAGCGUUAGCACAACGCGGUUGAUGUAGUCGUACGUCUUCAUGAUCCGACCGAUCCAAGUACCGAACGCACGGCACCUCCGAGUUCAGCACACGUUCAGCUCGAUGACGUCCCGCGAACUCCAACCCAAUAGAGCUUCACGGGAGAGUUCCAUCAGCAUGACAGCGUGGUGACGAUGAUGAUGUUCUACCGUCGCAGGGCUUCGCCUAAGCACCGCUACGAUAUGAUCGAGGUGGAUUAUGGUGGAAGGGGGCACCGCACACGGCUAAGAGAUCAAGAGAUCAAUUGUUGUGUCUAUGGGGUGCCCCUGGCCACGUAUAUAAAGGAGUAGAGGAGGAGGGGGCGGCCAAGAGGAGGAGGCACGCCCAAGGGGGGCAAUCCUACUCCAAGUAGGUUUUGCCCCGCCCCCCCUUUCCUAUUCCAACUAGGAGAAGGCGGAAGGAGGAGAUGGAGAGAAGGAAGGAGAAGGGGCGCCGCGCCCCCUUCCCUUUCCCAAUUCGGAUUGGGGCAAGGGGGCUGCGCGCCACCCCCUGCUGCCUCUCCUCUUCCACUACUUUGGGCCCAUGAGGCCCAAUAACCCCCGGGGGGUUCCGCUAACCCCCCGGUACUCCGGUAUAUAUCCGAUAACCCCCGGAACCAUUCCGGUGUCCGAAUAUAGUCGUCCAAUAUAUCAAUCUUCAUGUCUCGACCAUUUCGAGACUCCUCGUCAUGUCCGUGAUCACAUCUGGGACUCCGAACAACCUUCGGUACAUCAAAAAUCAUAAACUCAUAAUAUAACCGGCAUCGAAACGUUAAGCGUGCAGACCCUACGGGUUCGAGAACUAUGUAGGCAUGACCGAGACAUGUCUCUGGUCAAUAACCAAUAGCGGAACCUAGAUGCUCAUAUUGGCUCCCACAUAUUUUAUGAAGAUCUUUAUCGGUCAGACCGCAUAACAACAUACGUUAUUCCCUUUGUCAUCGGUAUGUUACUUGCCCGAGAUUCGAUCGUCAGUAUCUCAAUACCUAGUUCAAUCUCGUUACCGGCAAGUCUCUUUAUUCAUUCCGUAAUACAUCAUUCCGCAACUAACUCAUUUAGUUGCAAUGCUUGCAAGGCUUAAGUGAUGUGCAUUACCGAGAGGGCCCAGAGAUACCUCUCCGAUAAUCAGAGUGACAAAUCCUAAUCUCGAAAUACGCCAACCCAACAAGUACCUUUGGAGACACCUAUAGAGCACCUUUAUAAUCACCCAGUUACGUUGUGACGUUUGGUAGCACACAAAGUGUUCCUCCGAUAAACGGGAGUUGCAUAAUCUCAUAGUCAUAGGAACAUGUAUAAGUUAUGAAGAAAGCAAUAGCAACAAACUAAACGAUCAAGUGCUAUGCUUACGGAAUGGGUCAAGUCAAUCACAUCAUUCUCUAAUGAUGUAACCCCGUUAAUCAAAUGACAACUCAUGUCUAUGGCUAAGAAACUUAACCAUCUUUGAUUCAACAAGCUAGUGAAGUAGAGGCAUACUAGUGACAUACUGUUUAUCUAUGUAUUCACACAUGUAUUAUGUUUCCGGUUAAUACAAUUCUAGCAUGAAUAAUAAACAUUUAUCAUGAUAUAAGGAAAUAAAUAAUAACUUUAUUAUUGCCUCUAGGGCAUAUUUCCUUCAGUCUCCCACUUGCACUAGAGUCAAUAAUCUAGUUCACAUCGCCAUGUGAUUUAACAUCAAUAGUUCACAUUACCAUGUGAUUAACACCCAUAGUUCACAUCGUCAUGUGACCAACACCCAAAGGGUUUACUAGAGUCAAUAAUCUAGUUCGCAUUGCUAUGUGAUUAAUACCCAAAGAGUACUAAGGUGUGAUCAUGUUUUGCUUGUGAGGCAAGUUUAGUCAACGAGUCCGGCACAUUCAGAUCCGUAUGUAUUUUGCAAAUUUCUAUGUCAACAAUGCUCUGCACGGAGCUACUCUAGCUAAUUGCUCCCACUUUCAAUAUGUAUCCAGACUGAGACUUUGAGUCAUCUGGAUCAGUGUCAAAACUUGCAUCAACGUAACUAUCGGUGUCAAAACCGGCGGAUCUCAGGUAGGGGGUCCCGAACUGUGCGUCUAGGCCGGAUGGUAACAGGAGGCAAGGGACACGAAGUUUUACCCAGGUUUGGGCCCUCUUGAUGGAGGUAAAACCCUAUGUCCUGCUUGAUUAAUAUUGAAGAUAUGGGUAUUACAAGAGUAGAUCUACCACGAGAUCAGAGAGGCUAAACCCUAGAAGCUAGCCUACGGUAUGAUUGUAUGUUGUGAUUGUUGUCCUACGGACUAAAACCCUCCGGUUUAUAUAGACACCGGAGAGGGUUAGGGUUACACAAGGUCGGUUACAAAGGAGGAGAUAUCCAUAUAUGUAUUGCCUAGCUUGCCUUCCACGCCAAGCAGAGUCCCAUCCAGACACGAGACGAAGUCUUCAAUCUUGUAUCUUCAUAGUCUAACAGUCCGGCCAAUGGAGAUAGUCCGGCUGUCCGGAGACCCCCUAAUCCAGGACUCCCACAGUAGCCCCUGAACCAGGCUUCAAUGACGAUGAGUCCGGCGCGCAGUUAUCUUCGGCAUUGCAAGGCGGGUUCCUUCUCCGAAUACAUUACAAAAGAAGUUGAAUACGAGGAUAGUGUCCGACCCUGCAAAAUAAGUCCCACAUUUCACCGUAGAGAGAAUAAUGUUUUUUCGCAGAUCUAAUUUGCUGGCUUGUUUUGCUAAUAUGAUGUUAUGUCAUGGCCCGGUAAUUAUUCGAACCGUUUCUUUUAACCAGCCCCGCACAUAACGCGAGGCAGUUUUUUGACACGUCUUGUCAAAGCAGAGAUCGUGUCCCCUUAUUAUGGGAUUCUCAUCAAUACGGGCGUGGGUAACCCAACUGCGCCAUCAACCGCGGCGCUUGGGGGAUAAGCGAGUUUUACUAUGCAAGUGGGGACGUUUAACUUUGUCUGCCCAUAUAAAGGGAUAAGGAUUCACCUUUCUAUCCAGGCCUUCUUCCUCCUCUGCUCAUCCGCUCCCGCAUACUUGAGCUCUAGCGCCCAAGUCCUCACUUCCAUCUCAACCUUCUCCAACCAUGUCCGGAGUGGGAGGCAAGUGGAUGGUCUCCUCCGUCAUGGAGGGAGACAUCAAGAAACUAAGGAGAGCCGGAUACCUGCACGACGACAUCGCGCACCGGCUCCCAGAUGAGGGACAGCUCAUCCCCACCCCCGAGCCCCAUGAGAGGGUGGUAUUCCUCACCCAUUUCCUCAGCGGACUAGGAUUCCCUCUCCAUCCCUUUGUCCGGGGGCUCAUGUUUUAUUACGGCCUGGAUUUCCAUGAUCUAGCCUGAAAUUUCAUCCUCAACAUCUCGGCGUUUAUCGUCGUGUGCGAGGCCUUCCUCCGCAUCAAGCCCCACUUCGGCUUAUGGCUGAAGACCUUCAAUGUCAAGCCGAAGGUAGUGAGAAGCCGCCAGGCGGAGUGCGGAUGCGCCAUGGUGGGCAAGAUGCCCAACAUCACAUGGCUCGAGGGCACCUUCGUGGACACCAUAAAGGGGUGGCAAUCGGGGUGGUUCUAUAUCACCGAGCCGCGCGACCCCGCAUGGGUAGCGGCCCCCAAGUUCCGAUCCGGCAUCCCCAUGCGGCUCACCUCCUGGAAAGAGAAGGGCCUAUCCUGGGGUAAUUCCAAAGAGUUGACCGGACUCCAGUCAUGUAUUCAGAACAUGGUGGAUAAGAAGCUCAAGCUUGUCAACAUAGUCCAGGUUAUGCUCGUUCGCCGGAUUCUCCCAUGCCAACAACGGGAGUUUACCUUGUGGGAGUUCAAUCCGGCGCAGCACCGAACUCUGAACAGGCUCUUCGACACGACUCAUGAAGAUGCCUGGAGGGUGCUGUUCAAGGGCGCCGCGGUCCCUCCCCCCAUUACUGAGGAUCGCGGGUUCAGCACGAAGCGCCACGCCAGUGCGGUAAGUUGUUUUACCUCUUACAGGAUAUUUGUUUUAUAUAUAUAUAUAUAUAUAUAUAUAUAUAUAUAUAUAUAUAUAUUGGCUCUAUGCGGGAUCUAAACUCCCGUAAUUUUGACAGGACUGGCAGAAGAUGGCCGGACAGAUCGACUGUCCAGCUCCCUUGCCCGAAGGCCCCGCAAACGCUCUUCUGACGAAGAUGCUGACUCCGGCCCCCUAUAAGGUGUCGGAGAAGACCAAGAAGGCCAAGGGAGCUUGAAAGAGUUCCCGACGCCAGGCGUCGUCGGACUCACCGUCCGAUGAUUCUGCGGCGCACUCUUCCCCCGAAGACGAGGAAGAGGAAGAAGAGGCUCCCCCACCGACUGGGGGAGACAAGAAAAGGAAGGCUGCCCCAACUGGGGAGGCCGAAGGGUCCAAGAAGGGAAGGACGCUCCUUCUGGCAGCUCCACCGCCGCCGACGACAGUGAAGACGAGUGGUUGCCUAAGGGCAAGCCCCAGGGGAGAUCGUAAGUGUUCGGAUACCAAAGUAACCCAUAGGAUUCCUUUGUCGCAUUGCUUUCCCUAACGCCGAACUCAAUUGUACAGGCCGCCCCUAGCCAAUAUCGAGGUAUCCUCGGACGGCUCCCUGGCUUCGUCGGACAUGGAUAGUGAUCCAGUCCCGACGGCCACCUCCCCUCAUCCAGCCAACGAUACUGAGGUGCUGUCUCAACAGGCACCGGAUCGAGGGGGGACAGUCCCAGAGGCGCCGCAAGGAGACCUUCCGAACUCCGGGAGCCGAGGGGACGGGGUCCCCGAGAGUUCCGAGUUCGGCCCUCAGCCGAACACCGCGCCGGACCCUCCAACGGCUCCGAGCUCGGGUAGGCGGUCCCCUUCUAAGGAGGGUGAGACGCCUGUGCCGGUGACCUCUGUCCAUCCAGAGGCGCCGGACACUAUGUUGAAAGCGCUUCGCAGCGCUUCCAUCGAGGAGAAGCACCGCACUAUCAUGAGUGCGGUGAUCCAGAAGGUUCAAUCCGCCAAGAGCGGAUUGACUGAAGCCUGUACUAGCCUUCUAACAGGCUUUGAGGUGUUUUAAAAUGUAGUAGAAGUGUUACCGCAUAGACAGUAGCCCCUGAUGCUUUGUUCGGUGUUCACAAAGAAAAGCCGAACAGAGGAUCAAAUAAUAUCGCAGGAGUCUAAUAUAAGUAUGUCAAUAUGCAUAUGCAGGCUUCGCUGCUGGCGUCCGCCGCACUAACUGCGGAGGUCGCCGUACUGAAGGAGGCCCUCGAGGGGUCCAGAAAUAGCUCGGCCUUGCUAAGAGGCAGCUCGAGGAGAACAAGGGUAAGUAAUACCCCGUCUGUAGAUGAGAAAAAGGACGUGAUUGCUAAGAUGACAGGAUCAUUGUAUGUUUGCCAGGGCCACAACCGAGGUGGCGACCCUGAAGCAAGCGAUGUCCCAGGCCGAAGAAAAGGCGGCCCAGGAGCGCACCGAGCGAGAGAGGCACGAGGCUCGGGUGGGCGAGGUGCAGCAAGAGCUCCAGGCUCUCGUGACCAAGCACGAGGCGUUGGAGCUUGACCUGAAGACGAGAGAGUCUGAGCUUGCCGCGGCACGUGAGAGCGCGAAGAGUGCCAAGGCCGAGGCCCAGAAGGCCCUUCAGGAGAUCGACGCGAUGAAGAAGAUAGCGGCGGGUAAGGCUUUCUAUAUGCAAAGCAAGCAUGUAAAGGUGAAUUACCGAUUACUUACCCGAAUCCGGAGCUCUUCAGGAGCAUUCGCAGAUUUGCCCUGCAGUGUGUCCGAUGCCGCACUGUUCUACCAGGCCGAGGACGGAAGCUUGACGGAGAAGUUGUUCUGGUCUCAGUAUGCUGAGGCCGAACAUCCGGUGUCAAUGAGCAACCAGCUGAAGCAGAUGGCCGAGCUACAUAAGGCGGCCGAUCAGGCCAUGAAGGGCUUCAUAGUCCGGUUGUGGCCUGGCGACGCCCUUCCGAACAGCUUCUUCGGCCUGGUGAGGCGGCUUGUGGAUGCCUGCCCACGGCUGGAGGUCGUCAAGCGAUCCGUCUGCAUUGAAGGUGCACGUCGGGCCUUCGCCCGUGUGAAAACGCAAUGUGUCAAGCUAGACGCCGUGAAGCUUAUCAAGGAGGGGCCGCCGGAGGGCAAGGAGCACCGCCACCCCGAGAUGUACUACGAGGGUGUUCUGUCGGGCACCUGUCUUAUCGCGGAUGAGUGUUCACAAAAUGUAAUAUUUGAAUGAGACUUGCUCAUUUUUAUCCUGUGUAAUGAAAACUUGUUUCAUAUGCGCUAUGCAACGCUUGUGUGAAUUUAAAAUAUUACCUUCUGUUUGGUUGUUUAUCCAAUCUGAGAGAUGGCUAGGCCUCGGCUUCUGCCCCCAUGCCACGAGUGCUGGGGUGUUCGGGAUAAACCUGAGCACUCUUGUUCCCAUGUUUGGGUCCUUCGAGGGAGGUGCUCAGCACAACGAACAAGGCAACCGGACUAAUAAUGCUUUAUCACUCUUACUUAGCCAUAGAAUUCUAUAAUUUUAAAUUUCGGCGAAGCCCCUGGUAUUCGGAAGGCCGAAUUCGGGGUGCGAUACACGCCUGUAAGCCGGACGGAGCCGGCCCCUCGCCCUAAGCGGCAUAAGUCUUUAGGGACUCGAAAAAUCUCGCCGAACAGCGACCAGUCUCUCGCCUUAUCCUGACAGUCAGUUUUAGCUUUCUCUACUAAGGUGCUCGGCUCGGCAGAACCGGGGCACAAUCGCGGUAGUUCUCCUAGCGCUACCUUAGCCGAUAGAGCGGAACGUAAGGUACCAAAACAUAGGGGCCGGGCAAACCCAACAUUUGACCAAAGACAUGAUUCGGAGCUGAUGCAUAUAAUGCUAUAAGUUCAGGGUGCCGCACUUGUGAAAGUGUUCAGACUUUUCACACCAUAUGGUGGGUACGUAAGCCCCCGGUGCAUUGGACGUACCAGAGUGUACGGUUGCUAGACGUCAUUAAUGAACACAUAGAUAUGUAUACAUAUAACAAAAAUGCGAUAAUAGUCGUAAUGUCACGCAUUGUAUAUUAAAAAAUUGCAUUAAAGCAGAGUGAUACAGAUAGUGUAAUGAGCAAAAUAGUAGGACUAUGUCCCAUCCAAGGGCGAGCUGAGGAAUUAUGUGAAAUCUGUAAUCCACCUGGGAAUUCCGUAGUCGUCGGCCUCCUUGGUUGCUGUAUCAUGUGUUCGGCAAUAGAGCUGUCGGACAGUGUUUCCAGAGAUUGAAGUCCUGAAAGAAAAAGAAAAAUAACCAAACGGGAAGCCCCUGGUGCGGUUUAGGCCACGUUUUGGGACGUGUCGUAGUUGUGCCUCCCCCUCCCCAUCUGUGCCCAUGGUAUUUUUAAUGCAUAAUGAUGUACGCACGGCACGAACAACGUCGUUGGGCUGGGGUUGGGGUGGCCGCCGUAUUGCUACGUGAGCUCAGAUCAUGCCAGGCGGUCUGUUUGCCGAUUACCCCAAGCGCGCUUGAAGGUGUCCGGGCCUUGAAAUGCCGAACUGGUAGAUUGCCUUGAAAGGCUGCUUUGCGCUUCUGCUGCGAGGGCCGCGGUGUGCUCCUCUGUUCGGAGAGAGCGCUCUGUGUUUCCAUUGACUGUAAUAACUCCGCGAGGUCCUGGCAUCUUGAGCUUGAGGUAUGCAUAAUGUGGUACCGCAUUGAGGGCCAGUUCUUUUGGGCGAUUCUACCAAAAUCGCCCCCUUCUCCAGCUUCUCCCAGAAUCACCACUCCAUAUGUUUUUUACAAUCCUAGAUAAUUAGACCUUAACUAGAUAGGAUUGUAAAAAAAUAUGGAGUGGUGAUUCUGGGAGAAGCUGGAGAGGGGGGCGAUUCUGGGAGAAUCGCCGAAAAGAACUGGCCCUGAAUCUAGCGAAUGCGGUUCAUCCGAGCAGUGCGUGAUAACCACUGCGGAACGGGACUAUAUCAAAGAUUAACUCUUUGCUUCGGAAGUUAUCCGGGGAUCCAAAGACCACUUCCAGUGUAAUUGAGCCUGUGCAGUGGGCCUCUACGCCUGGAAUGACGCCUUUAAAGGUCGUCUUUGUGGGUUUGAUCCUUGAGGGGUCUAUGCCCAUUUUGCGCACUGUGUCCUGAUAAAGUAGGUUUAGGCUACUGUCGCCGUCCAUGAGGACUCGAGUGAGGUGAAAUCCGUCGAUGAUUGGGUCUAGGACCAGUGUGGCGAAUCCGCCGUGACGGAUACUAGUGGGGUGGUCCCUGCGAUCAAAGGUGAUCGGACAGGAGGACCAAGGGUUGAACUUCGGGGCGACUGGCUCCAGCGCAUAUACGUCCCUAAGCGCACGCUUCCGCUCCCUCUUGGGGAUGUGGGUUGCGUAUAUCAUGUUCACCGUCCUCACUUGCGGGGGAAACCUCUUAUGUCCUCCAGUGUGCGGCUACCGGGGUUCUUCCUCGUCAUUGCUAUGUGGCCCCUUGUCCUUGUUUUCAGCAAUUAACUUGCCGACCUGCUUAAACACCCAACAAUCCCUGUUGGUGUGAUUGGCUGGCUUGUCUGGUGUGUCGUGUAUUUUACACGAGCGAUCGAGUAUACGGUCCAAGCUGGACGGACCCGGCGUACUUUGUUUGAAUGGCUUUUUCCGCUGACCGGGUUUAGAGCCUUUGAAUCCGACAUUGACUGUCGUAUCCUCAGUACUUUCGCCGUUAAUGCGGCGCUUAUGUUUGUUGCGAUGUGACCUGCUGUUGCCAUCCUUGGUAUCUGAGGUACCAUGGUUCUUUGAUAUGUUGUUACUGCGAGCCAACCAGUUGUCUUCUCCAGCACAAAAGCGGGUCAUGAGCGUCGUGAGGGAUGCCAUAGAUUUCGGCUUUUCCUGACCAAGGUGCCGGGCUAACCACUCGUCUCGGAUGUUGUGCUUGAAAGCCGCUAAGGCCUCCGCAUCUGGACAGUCGACGAUUUGGUUUUUCUUUGUAAGGAACCGGGUCCAGAAUUGCCUGGCCGACUCUUCUGGCUGCUGAAUUAUGUGGCUCAAGUCAUCGGCGUCUGGUGGUCGCACAUAAGUGCCCUGAAAGUUGUCGAGGAAUGCGGCUUCCAGAUCUUCCCAACAGCUAAUGGAGUCCGCUGGCAAGCUAUUAAGCCAAUGUCGUGCUGGUCCUUUGAGUUUUAGUGGGAGGUACUUGAUGGCAUGUAAGUCAUCACCGCGGGCCAUGUGGAUGUGGAGGAGGAAGUCCUCAAUCCAUACCGCGGGAUCUGUUGUGUCGUCGUAUGAUUCAAUGUUUACAGGUUUGAAACCUUCUGGGAAUUGAUGUUCCAUUACUUCGUCUGUGAAGCAUAAGGGUGUGCGGCGCCUCUGUAUUGGGCUAUAUCGCGAUGCAGCUCGUAUGGAUCCUGCUCGCUGUGUUCGGCCCGGCCGGAUUUGCUUUUACUGUAUCCGGCGUGACGUUUACCGUCUCGUAGAGUGGUGCGCCCUCAUGAUCUGUAGAUCGAUCUUGAGUGCUUUGCUUUGUCCUCCAAUAUGUCUCGCAGGUCUGGCGUAUCUCCCCAUGCCUUUUUAUUUGAAUGGCGUUGGGGUGGAGGCUGAGCUUUCGGCAUGAAUGCCUCUCUAUCGCGGCCACGCGGUGGCCGAUCAGCCGUAUCAUAUGCUUCUUCCUCCAGUCGGGGUAGUAACAUGCGCCUUGGGUAACUCUUGGAGGGACGCUCGAGUUUAUAUUCCUCGGCUGCGAGGACUUCAGUCCAUUUGUCAGCUAGCAGAUCUUGAUCAGCUUGAAGCUGCUGCUACUUUUUCUUUAGGCUAUUUGUCGUGGCCAUAAGCCUGCGCUUGAAGCGCUCUUGUUCGACGGGAUCCUCUGGUACGGCGAAUUCAUCAUCGCCGAGGCUUGCCUCGUCUUCGGAGGGGGGCAUGUAAUUGUCAUCCUCCUCCUCUCCGCCGGCUGCUCUCUCAGGAGAGCUGGCUCCUUCAUCCUCCUGAUCUAACUCUUGCUGGAGGGAGUUUUCGUUGUCUUCGGCGCUAUCCGGAGUGUUAUUAUCUCUUGUGCCGGUAUCACCACUUUUGCUUUGGCGGGACUUAUAGCGGCGCCGUUGACGUCGGCGCUUGGGUUGUUUCUUGGAGGGGUCAUCCUCCGCUAUCUCGUCGCCGUUGCCUUCAUUGGGUGUAUCCACCAUGUAUAUGUCAUACGACAAGGUGGCUUUCCAGUGCCCUAUAGGUGUUGGUUCAUGUUCGUCUCCUACAUCGUCGUCCAUACCAUCGAUGUCUUCGGAGUCGAAGUCGAGCAUGUCGGUUAAAUCAUCGACAGUGGCUACAAAGUGGGUGGUGGGUGGGCGUCGAAUUUCUUCGUCGUCCACAUCCCAGUCAUGUUGGCCAUAAUCCGGCCAGGGCUCUCCUGUCAAAGAGAGAGACCUUAGUGAAUUCACAAUGUCGCCGAAGGGAGGGUGCUGAAAGAUAUCCGCGGCGGUGAAUUCCAUGAUCGGCGCCACUCGGAUUCAAUUGGCAGGGGCGCGGAUGGUUGGGGUCCGGAGGAGAGUCCGGCACCUUGGAGUCACGGGUUGCGCAGAGGAUUAUGCUGGUGUUCGGCACGAUCGUCGUUGAGACUGCAGCCCCUGAGGCGGUGUCUAGCCACUCGUCCUCGAUUGGCGCAGUUGGCUCCGAGCUAAGGGUCUGAGCUGGUGUGGGCGCAGUCUCUGGAGUACUGUCCGGUGGCAGAGCUAGGUCAUGCCCAUCGAGAUAGUGCGGCGCACCCGGCUGUGGCUCGAAUCCAUCGAAGAUCAAGUCUUCGCGGAUGUCGGCCGUGUAGUUCAAACUUCCAAAUCUGACCUGAUGGCCAGGGGCGUAGCUUUCAAUCUGCUCCAGAUGGCCGAGCGAAUUAGCCCGCAGUGCAAAGCCGUCGAAUACGAAGAUCUGUCCGGAGAGAAAAGUCUCACCCUGGACCGCAUUGCUAUCGAUGAUAGUAGGAGCCAUCAGGCCUAACGGCGACGACAUAGAGGAACUCUCAAUGAAAGCACCAAUGUCGGUGUCAAAACCGGCGGAUCUCGGGUAGGGGGUCCCGAACUAUGCGUCUAGGCCGGAUGGUAAUAGGAGGCAAGGGACACGAAGUUUUACCCAGGUUCGAGCCCUCUUGAUGGAGGUAAAACCCUACGUCCUGCUUGAUUAAUAUUGAAGAUAUGGGUAUUACAAGAGUAGAUCUACCACGAGAUCAGAGAGGCUAAACCCUAGAAGCUAGCCUACGGUAUGAUUGUAUGUUGUGAUUGUCAUCCUACAGACUAAAACCCUCCGAUUUAUAUAGACACCGGAGAGGGUUAGGGUUACACAAGGUCGGUUACAAAGGAGGAGAUAUCCAUAUACGUAUUGCCUAGCUUGCCUUCCACGCCAAGUAGAGUCCCAUCCGGACACGAGACGAAGUCUUCAAUCUUGUAUCUUCAUAGUCUAACAGUCCGGCCAAUGGAGAUAGUUCGGCUAUCCGGAGACCCCCUAAUCCAGGACUCCCACAGUAACCCUUUACGACGAACCUUUUGUCACCUCCAUAAUCGAGAAACAUAUCCUUAUUCCACUAAGGAUAAUUUUGACCAAUGUCCAGUGAUCUACUCCUAGAUCACUAUUGUACUUCCUUGCCAAACACAGGGCAGGGUAUACAAUAGGUCUGGUACACAGCAUGGCAUACUUUAUAGAACCUAUGGCUGAGGCAUAGGGAAUGACUUUCAUUCUCUCUCUAUCUUCUGCCGUGGUCGGGUUUUGAGUCUUACUCAACUUCACACCAUGUAACAAAAGCAAGAACUCCUUCUUUGAUUGUUCCAUUUUGAACUACUUCAAAAUCUUGUCAAGGUAUGUACUCAUUGAAAAACUUAUCAAGCGUCUUGAUCUAUCUCUAUAGAUCUUGAUGCUCAAUAUGUAAGCAGCUUCACCGAGGUCUUUCUUUGAAAAACUCCUUUCAAACAUUCCUUUAUGCUUUGCAGAAUGAUUCUACAUUAUCUCUGAUCAACAAUAUGUCAUUCACAUAUACUUAUCAGAAAUGUUGUAGUGCUCCCGCUCACUUUCUUGUAAAUACAGGCUUCACCGCAAGUCUGUAUAAAACUAUAUGAUUUGGUCAACUUAUCAAAGCGUAUAUUCCAACUCCAAGAUGCUUGCACCAGUCCAUAGAUGGAUCGCUGGAGCUUGCAUAUUUUGUUAGCACCUUUAGGAUUGACAAAACUUUCUUGUUGCAUCAUAUACAUCUCUUCUUUAAUAAAUCCAUUAAGGAAUGUAGUUUUGUUUAUCCAUUUGCCAGAUUUCAUAAAAUGUGGCAAUUGCUAACAUGAUUCGGACAGACUUAAGCAUAGAUAUGAGUGAGAAACUCUCAACGUAGUCAACACCUUGAAUUUGUCGAAAACCUUUUGCGACAAUUCUAGCUUUGUAGAUAGUAACACUAUUAUCAUCGUCCAUCUUCCACUUGAUGAUCCAUUUAAUCUCAAUGGCUCGUCAAUCAAUGGGCAAGUCAAUCAAAGUCCAUACUUUGUUCUCAUACAUGGAUCUCAUAUCAGAUUUCAUGGCCUCAAGCCAUCUUGCGGAAUAUGGGCUCAUCAUCGCUUCCUCAUAGUUCGUAGGUUCGUCAUGGUCAAGUAACAUGACCUCCAGAACAGGAUUACCGUACCACCCUGGUGCGGAUCUCACUCUAGUUUACCUACGAGGUUUGGUAGUAACUUGAUCUGAAGUUACAUGAUCAUCAUCAUUAGCUUCCUCACUAAUUGGUGUAGUAGUCACAGGAAAAGAUUUCUAUGAUGAACUACUUUCCAAUAAGGGAGCAGGUACAGUUACCUCAUCAAGUUCUACUUUCCUCCCACUCACUUCUUUCGAGAGAAACUCCUUCUCUAGAAAGGAUCCAUUCUUAGCAACAAAUAUCUUGCCUUCGGAUCUGUGAUAGAAGGUGUACCCAACAGUUACUUUUUGGUAUCCUAUGAAGAUGCACUUCUCCGACUUGGGUUUGAGCUUAUCAAGAUGAAACUUUUUCACAUAAGCAUUGCAUCCCCAAACUUUAAGAAACGACAGCUUAGGUUUCUUGCCAAACCAUAGUUCAUACGGUGUCGUCUCAAUAGAUUUAGAUGGUGCCCAAUUUAAUGUGAAUGUAGCUGUCUCUAAUGCAUAACCCCAGAACGAUAGUGGUAAAUCGGUAAGAGACAUCAUAGAUCACACCAUAUCUAAUAAAUUACGGUUACGAUGUUCGGACACACCAUUACACUGUGGUGUUCCAGGUGGCGUGAGUAGUGAAACUAUUUCACAUUAUUUUAACUGAAGGCCAAACUCGUAACUCAAAUAUUUUACUUCUGCGAUCAUAUCAUAGAAACUUUUAUUUUUGUUACGAUGAUUCUCCACUUACCUCUGAAAUUCUUUGAACUUCUCAAAUGUUUCAGACUUGUGUUUCAUCAAGUAGAUAUACUCAUAUCUGCUCAAAUCAUCUGUGAAGAUCAGAAAAUAAUUAUACCUGCCGCGAGCCUCAAUAUUCAUCGGACCACAUACAUCAGUAUGUAUGAUUUCCAACAAAUAUGUUGCUCGCUCCAUUGUUCCGGAGAACGGAGUCUUAGUCAUCUUGCCCAUGAGGUAUGGUUCGCAAGCAUCAACUGAUUCAUAAUCAAGUGAUUCCAAAAGUCCAUCGGCAUGGAUUUUCUUCAUGCGCUUUGCACCAAUAUGACCUAACCGGCAGUGCCACAAAUAAGUUGCACUAUCAUUAUUAACUUUGAAUCUUUUGGCUUCAAUAUUAUAAAAAUGUGUAUCACCACGAUCGAGAUCCAACAAACCAUUUUCAUUGGGUGUAUGACCAUAGAAGGUUUUAUUCAUGUAAACAGAACAACAAUUAUUCUCUAACUUACAUGAAUAACAGUAUUGCAAUAAACAUGACCCAGUCAUAUUCAUGCUCAACGCAAACAUUAAAUAACAUUUAUUUUAGGUUUAACACUAAUCCCGAAAGUAUAGGGAGUGUGCGAUGAUGAUCAUAUCAAUCUUGGAACCAUUUCCAAUACACCUCGUCACUUCACCCUUAACUAAUCUCUGUUCAUUCUGCAACUCCCAUUUCGAGUUACUAUUCUUAGUAACUGAACUAGUAUCAAAUACUAAGGGGUUGCUAUAAACAUUAGUAAAGUACACAUCAAUAACAUGUAUAUAAAAUAUACCUAUGUUUACUUUGCCAUCCUUCUUAUUCGCCAAUUACUUGGGGUAGUUCCGCUUCCAAUGACCAGUCCCUUUGUAGUAGAAGCACUCAGUUUCAGGCUUAGGUCCAGACUUGGGUUUUUUUCACUUGAGCAGCAACUUGUUUGACGUUCUUCUUGAAGUUCCCCUUUCUUCCCUUUGUCCCUUUACUUGAAACUAGUGGUUUUACCAUCAACACUUGAUGUUUUUCUUGAUUUCUACCUUCGUCGAUUUCAGCAUCACGAAGAGCUUGGGAAUCGUUUCCGUUAUCCCUUGCAUAUUAUAGUUCAUCACGAAGUUCUACUAACUUGGUGAUGGUGACUAGAGAAUUCUGUCAAUCACUAUUUUAUCUGGAAGAUUAACUCCCACUUAAUUCAAGCGAUUGUAGUACCCAAACAAUCUGAGCACAUGCUCACUGCUUGAGCUAUUCUCCUCCAUCUUUUAGCUAUAGAACUUGUUGGAGACUUCAUAUCUCUCAACUCGGGUAUUUACUUGAAAUAUUAACUUCAACUCCUGGAACAUCUCAUAUGGUCCAUGACGUUCAAAACGUCUUUGAAGUCCCGAUUCUAAGCCGUUUAAGCAUGGUGCACUAAACUAUCAAGUAGUCAUCAUAUUGAGCUAGCCAAACGUUCAUAACAUCUGCAUCUGCUCCUGCAAUAGGUUUGUCACCUAGCGGUGCAUCAAGGACAUAAUUCUUCUCUGCAGCAAUGAGGAUAAACCUCAGAUCACGGAUCCAAUCGCAUAAUUACUACUAACAUCUUUCAACUGAGUUUUCUCUAGGAACAUAUCAAAAAAUAGGGGAUCUAAACGCGAGCUAUUGAUCUACAACAUAGAUAUGCUAAUACUACCAGGACUAAGUUCAUGAUAAAUUUAAGUUCAAUUAAUCAUAUUACUUAAGAACUCCCACUUAGAAAGACAUCCCUCUAAUCUUCUAAGUGAUCACGUGAUCCAAAUCAACUAAACCAUAACCGAUCAUCACGUGAAAUGGAGUAGUUUUCAAUGGUGAACAUCACUAUGUUGAUCAUACCUACUAUAUGAUUCACGCUCGACCUUUCGGUCUCAGUGUUCGAGGCCAUAUCUGCAUAUGCUAGGCUCGUCAAGUUUAACCUGAGUAUUCUGCGUGUGCAAAACUGGCUUGCACCCGUUGUAGAUGGACGUAGAGCUUAUCACACCCGAUCAUCACGUGGUGUCUGGGCACGACGAACUUUGGCAACGGUGCAUACUCAGGGAGAACACUUUUAUCUUGAAAUUUAGUGAGAGAUCAUCUUAUAAUGCUACCGUCAUAACUAAGCAAAGUAAGAUGUAUAAAAGAUAAACAUCACAUGCAAUCAUAAUAUGUGACAUGAUAUGGCCAUCAUCAUCUUGUGCCUUUGAUCUCCAUCUCCAAAGCAUCGUCAUGAUCUCCAUCGCCACCGGCAUGACACCAUGAUCUCCAUCAUCUUGAUCUAUAUCAAUGUGUCGUCACAUGGUCGUCUCACCAACUAUUGCUCUUGCAACUAUUGCUAUCGCAUAGCAAUAAAGAAAGCAAUUAUUUGGUGCUUGCAUCUUAUGCAAUAGAGAAAGACAACCAUAAGGCUUUUGCCAGUUGCCGAUAUCUUUAAGAAAACAUGAUCAUCUCAUACAACAACUUAUAUCUCAUCACGUCUUGACCAUAUCACAUCACAACAUGCUCUGCAAAAACAAGUUAGACAUCCUCUACUUUGUUGUUGCAAGUUUUACGCGGCUGCUACGGGCUUAGCAAGAACCGUUCUUACCUACGCAUCAAAACCACAACGAUAGUUUGUCAAGUUGGUGUUGUUUUAACCUUCUCAAGGACCGGGCGUAGCCACACUCGGUUCAACUAAAGUUGGAGAAACUGACACCCGCUAGUCACCUGUGUGCAUAGCACAGCGGUAAAACCAGUCUCGCGUAAGCGUACGCGUAAGCGUACGCGUAAUGUCGGUCCGGGCCACUUCAUCCAACAAUACCACCGAACCAAAGUGUGACAUGCUGGUAAGCAGUAUGACUUAUAUCGCCCACAACUCACUUGUGUUCUACUCGUGCAUAUUACAUCAACGCAUAAAACCUGGCUUGGAUGCCACUGUUGGGGAACGUAGUAAUUUCAAAAAAAAUCCUAUGCACACGCAAGAUCAUGGUGAUGCAUAGCAACGAGAGGGGAGAGUGUUGUCCACGUACCCUCGAAGACCGAAAGCGGAAGCGUUAGCACAACGCGGUUGAUGUAGUCGUACGUCUUCACGAUCCGACCGAUCCAAGUACUGAACGCACGGCACCUCCGAGUUCAGCACACGUUCAGCUCGAUGACGUCCCGCAAACUCCAAUCCAGUAGAGCUUCACGGGAGAGUUCCGUCAGCACGACGACGUGGUGAUGAUGAUGAUGUUCUAUUGUCGCAGGGCUUCGCCUAAGCAUCGCUACGAUAUGAUCGAGGUGGAUUAUGGUGGAAGGGGGCACCGCACACGGCUAAGAGAUCAAGAGAUCAAUUGUUGUGUCUAUGGGGUGCCCCCUGGCCACGUAUAUAAAGGAGUGGAGGAGGAGGGGGCCGGCCAAGAGGAGGAAGUGCGCCAAAGGGGGGCAAUCCUACUCCAAGUAGGUUUUGCCCCCCCCCCCCACCCCUUCCUAUUCCAACUAGGAGAAGGGGGAAGGAGGAGGUGGAGAGAAGGAAGGAGAAGGGGGCCGCGCCCCCUUCCCUUUCCCAAUUUGGAUUGGGGCAAGGGGGGCUGCGCGCCACCUCCUGCUGCCUCUCCUCUUCCACUACUUUGGGCCCAUGAGGCCCAAUAACCCCCGGGGGGUUCGGGUAACCCCCCGGUACUCCGGUAUAUAUCCGAUAACCCCCGAAACCAUUCUGGUGUCCGAAUAUAGUCGUCCAAUAUAUCAAUCUUCAUGUCUCGACCAUUUCGAGACUCCUCGUCAUGUUUGUGAUCACAUCCGGGACUCCGAACAACCUUCGUUACAUCAAAACUCAUAAACUCAUAAUAUAACCGGCAUCGAAACGUUAAGCGUGCGGACCCUACGGGUUCGAGAACUAUGUAGACAUGACCGAGACAUGUCUCCGGUCAAUAACCAAUAGAGGAACCUGGAUGCUCAUAUUGGCUCCCACAUAUUCUACGAAGAUCUUUAUCGGUCAGACCGCAUAACAACAUACGUUGUUCCCUUUGUCAUCGGUAUGUUACUUGCCCGAGAUGCGAUCGUCGGUAUCUCAAUACCUAGUUCAAUCUCGUUAUCGGCAAGUCUCUUUACUCGUUCUGUAAUACAUCAUUCCACAACUAACUCAUUUAGUUGCAAUGCUUGCAAGGCUUAAGUGAUGUGCAUUACCGAGAGGGCCCAGAGAUACCUCUCCGACAAUCUGAGUGACAAAUCCUAAUCUCGAAAUACGCCAACCCAACAAGUACCUUUGGAAACACCUGUAGAGCACAUUUAUAAUCACCCAGUUAUGUUGUGACGUUUGGUAGCACAUAAAGUGUUCCUCCGGUAAACGGGAGUUGCAUAAUCUCAUAGUCAUAGGAACAUGUAUAAGUUAUGAAGAAAGCAAUAGCAACAAACUAAACGAUCAAGUGCUAUGCUUACGGAAUGGGUCAAGUCAAUCACAUCAUUCUCUAAUGAUGUAACCCCGUUAAUCAAAUGACAACUCAUGUCUAUGGCUAGGAAACUUAACCAUCUUUGAUUCAACGAGCUAGUCAAGUAGAGGCAUACUAGUGACAUACUGUUUGUCUAUGUAUUCACACAUGUAUUAUGUUUUCGGUUAAUACAAUUCUAGCAUGAAUAAUAAACAUUUAUCAUGAUAUAAGGAAAUAAAUAAUAACUUUAUUAUUGCCUCUAGGGUAUAUUUCCUUCAAUAACAUCUACGCAUAGACCUGGCUCGGAUGCCAUUGUUGGGGAACGUAGUAAUUUCAAAAAAUUCCUACACACACGCAAGAUGUAUCAUGGUGAUGCAUAACAACGAGAGGGAAGAGUGUCGUCCACGUACCCUCCUAGAUCGUAAGCGGAAGCGUUAUGACAACGCGGUUGAUGUAGUCGUACGUCUUCACGAUCCGACCGAUCCUAGUACCGAAAGUAUGGCACCUCCGUGAUCUGCACACGUUCGGCUCGGUGACGUCCCACAAACUCUCGAUCCAGCUGAGUGUCGAGGGAGAGCUUCGUCAGCACGACGGCAUGACGAUGGUGAUGAUGAAGUUACCGUCGCAGGGCUUCGCCUAAGCACUACGAUGAUAUGACUGUGGAGGGGGGCACCGCACACGGCUAAGGGAUCAAUGAUCAACUUGGGUGUCCUAGGAUGCCCCCCUGCCCCGUAUAUAAAGGAGCAAGGGGGAGGCCGGCCGGCCCUUGGGGCGCGCCAGGAGAGGAGGAAUCCUCCUCCUAAUAGGAGUAGGACUCCCCUUUCCUAGUCCUACUAGGAGGAGGAAGGGGGAGGAAGGAGAGGAGAAGGGAGAAGGAAAGGGGGCACCCCCCCCUUCCCUAGUCCAAUUCGGACUAGAGGGGGAGGGGCGCGCGGCCCUGCCUUGGCCGGCCCUCUCUCUCUCUCCACUAAGGCCCAUGUUGGCCCAUUAGAUCCCCCGGGGGUUCCGAUAACCCUCCGGCACUCCGAUAAUUAUCCGGUAACCCCCGGAACUCAUCCGGUGUCCGAAUAUGGUCAUCCAAUAUAUCAAUCUUUAUGUCUCGACCAUUUCGAGACUCCUCGUCAUGUCCUUGAUCAUAUCCGGGACUCUGAACAAUCUUCGAUACAUCAAAACACAUAAACUCAUAAUACCGAUCGUCACCGAACGUUAAGCGUGCGGAUCCUACGGGUUCGAGAACUAUGUAUACAUGACCGAGAUACGUCUCCGUCCAAUAACCAAUAGCGAAACCUGGAUGCUCAUAUUGGCUCCUACAUAUUCUACGAAGAUCUUUAUCGGUCAAACCGCAUAACAAUAUACGUUGUUCCCUUUGUCAUCGGUGUGUUACUUGCCCGAGAUUCGAUCGUCGGUAUCUCAAUACUUAGUUCAAUCUCGUUACCGGCAAGUCUCUUUACUCGUUCCGUAAUGCAACAUCCCGUAACUAACUCAUUAGUCACAUUGCUUGCAAGGCUUAUAGUGAUGUGCAUUACCGAGAGGGCCCAGAGAUACGUCUCCGGUACACGGAGUGACAAACCCUAAUCUCGAUCUAUACCAACUCAACAAACACCAUCGGAGACACCUGUAGAGCAUCUUUAUAGUCACCCAGUUACGUUGUGACGUUUGAUAGCACACUAAGUGUUUCUCCAGUAUUCGGGAGUUACAUAAUCUCAUAGUCAUAGGAACAUGUAUAAGUUAUGAAAAAAGCAAUAGCAAUAAAUUAAACGAUCAUCGUGCUAAGCUAACGGAUGGGUCAAGUCAAUCACAUCAUUCUCUAAUGACGUGAUCCCGUUAAUCAAAUGACAACUCUUUGUCCAUGGCUAGGAAACUUAACCAUCUUUGAUUAACGAGCUAGUCAAGUAGAGGCAUACUAGUGACACUCAGUUUGUCUAUGUAUUCACACAUGUACUAAUUUUUCGGUUAAUACAAUUCUAGCAUGAAUAAUAAACAUUUAUCAUGAUAUAAGGAAAUAUAAGUAACAAUUUUAUUAUUGCCUCUAGGGCAUAUUUCCUUCACUUCAGCGCUCGCCGGUGCUUGCUAGGCUUGCCGAAGGCAACAGCCCUCCAGUGAACUUUACUGUCAACGGCCACAACUACGACAAAGGAUACUACUUGGGUGACGGUAUCUAUCCUCAGUGGACCACUAUUGUGAAGACAAUACCCAACCCUGUUGGAGAGAAUAGGAAAACAUUUUCCCAAGAGCAAGAGAGUGCUAGGAAGGAUGUCGAGCGUGCCCUUUGGUGUUUUGCAAUUCGAUGGGGCAUCGUUCGGUAUCCUGCUAAAACCUGGAGCACGCAGAAACUGUGGGAGGUGAUGACUGCUUGUGUGAUCAUGCAUAAUAUGAUCGUAGAAGACGAGUGCCCGGAACGUCUGUACAAUCAAGGGUUUCAGUUUCAGGGUGAGCAUGGAGUAGCGGCAACAUUUGAACAGUUCACCCAAUUUCAUGAAGACAUGCGUGAUUGGGAAACUCAUGUGCAGUUGUAAAAUGACUUGGUUGAGCAUAUGUGGGCUCAUGUUGGCAACCAAUAGAUGUAUCUUCUUUUAUUCGUUUGCAAAACUAUGUGAAACAUUUUUAUUUGUAUCCGGCUUGUAAAACUAUACUAUUUUAUUCGAUAAACUAUGUUAUUUGACAAUAUGUUUGAAUGCAAAUUAAUAUAAUAUUGAGCGGCUAGCCGGCCACGCCGGCACAUAUGGGUCGGCGCGUUGGGCGCGCUGCCGAUCCAAAUCUAAAAGAGGGCGGACGGCCGACCCAAACGGAUAAAAUGCGGACGAAAUUGGCGUCCGUUUGGGUCGGCCCGUUGGAGUUGCUCUUAGGUGCGUUAGGGCGUAGUGCGGCGGUGUACUUGGUUUCUCCUGUAUUAUUGUCCGGUAGUAUUCGUGCUCCGGUUAUCUUGGGGUCGGCAUUAAUUGUAGAGGAGCCGCCUCGCCAUCUUCUAUCGCCCGGCCGUGUACUUUGUUGAAUGGUGCUUUAUAUAUAAAACAGGACGGAAGCCUGUUUCGACGAGGAGUAUGUAGAGAGAACCCCUCAAAAACAAAAACAAAACUUAUCUAGAGAGGGAAAAAAAUGCUGCACGCGGUUGUAGUCCAUUGACUUUUCACUUCGAAGUUAUGCAUGCAUGCAUCCGUAGUUCUUCCAUCGGCUUAGCUGGUUUACCUUUAUGCUUACGUGCUUUGCUGAUAAGAAAAUCCAAUUGUCCUACAUCGUUGACCCUGCUGGCCGUGCUCUCCGGCGCGCCAUCAGCUUGCCCAGCAUGCUAGCCGCCUAGCCUACAAAAGGGCACCACCCACCGCCGGCGUAACAUCAACUGAAACCAGCAACACCCAGACCCCUGCUUAACCAAUUAGCUUCGAGAUAAGCUCGCAGCCAUGGCGCGGUGGCCAGCCGCCGUGGCGGCGUGUGCGCUCGGGGCGGCCCUCCUGGGCAUGCUGAUGGUCACCGCGGACGGGAGAGGCAGCAACACCAACAGCAAGUUCACGUGCACGGACACGGAGAAGAAGCGGCCGGGGUGCACGGGCACCUGCCCCGACAGGUGCCCCCAGAGCUGCAUCUCGCUCUGCCCCUCGUGCCAGACAUAUUGCCGUACAUACUCAGCCGCCAUUACUUUCAUGAUGAACUGCUACUGUUCUUGGCCUAGCUUUUAAGGUGCCUCCUGUGCAUGUAGCUGACCAGGUGCAGCCAGUGCGGCCAGCAUUGUUUGUGUUCGGGGACGGGUUUACGGACGUCGGCAACAACAACUACCUAGAGAACAACGAAGUAGGGAACCCUGUCAGAGCCAAUCACUCUUACUAUGGCAUAGAUUUCCCCAAUUCCGUGGCCACCGGAAGGUUUAGCAAUGGAUUCAACUUGGCUGACUUCAUCGGUAUGCUAAGUUGCUAACUUUGAUCCCAUCACGCUAUGCCUAUUUUUCAUAAUUUGCUUACCGUUCAAGACAACUGACAUGGCCACUUGUGCACUGCACAAUUAUCUACUUGUUCUAACAUUAUUACUCAACCAACAACCAUUGUUUGCCAACAGGUUUCCAUUUAAUAUACUCUUAUUUUCUCAUGUAGUAUAGCCUUAAUUUGUUUUACUUUCCCGCAAAAGAAAUUGUUUUACUUUACCGACAUGGUGGCUAGCAGUUGAAAAUCAGUACUCAAAGAUAUGGGUGUGGCUAGGUGCCUAGGUCUCAGUGAGUGAGAUUAACCAAGUCUCAGUCAAGUGACAUAAUAUCAAGAGAGAAAAAGAAAAUAUUGCACGAAUCUUAAUGUAAGAUCUCACGGAUAUAGCAUCGACUGAGACUUAACGAAGUCUCAGUCAACUGAGACUUAGCAAGACUGGAAAGAUAUAUAGCAGAGUAUAUAACACCGAAUUCUAUGUGCUAUCAGCUGCCAAGAUGUAACUAAAAUAUGAAAUUUAACCAAACAAUUACAUGGGCAUAAAAAUUCCAUUCCGGUUUGACUACUACUGAAUACCAUCUUUAUUUCAAUUUAUAAGGCAUAUAACUUUUCUUGUCUUAUUUCAUAUGAUAGGAUGUGUGCAUGUGAAUUUAUCGAUGUUUCUCCUUGUUCACUAGAAUCCUAGCAAUCGCAUAUUCUGCGCUGUUCUAUGUAUAUAAGCAUGGCUAGUUUCUAUUUUCUUUGUUUUGGUUUCAUUAGCAUUUUUAAGUUUUAUGCCGGCUCAAAACAUGCAUUACAGUCUGAACUGGAUGGAACAGUAUAUAAUUCAUGAAAAAUCAGGAAGAAUAUCAAUCCUUUUAGAACGAAUGGAUAUAUUAUCUAAGCUGUUCUGUUUUUGAAAGAAUAUUGAUCAACCGGUGGUGGGUAUACCUUUGAUUAAUAUGCAGCAAAGGCUAUGGGGUUCGAGAUGAGCCCUCCGGCUUAUCUGUCUCUUGAUAGUCCCAUAAAAAUGGAGGCUGGUUUUGCUGGAGUCAACUAUGCUUCGGCGACCUCUGGGAUUUGGAGAGACAUCGUAAGUGGACACCUUCAUGCAUGGACGAGUAUUUGAAUUUGCAUGCAUAUUAUUUCAGGAAUGCAUGUGCGUUCAUCGUCAACAUACCUUCAGCUAUCAUACAUCCAUAGAUAUAUCAGUACUAUGUCCAGGAAUAUGUAAAAACAAAAUAAUUGGUAUGGAUAUAUUUAGUUCUUAGACAUGAACUACAAUUAGUCGCAUUGAUGCUAAUACCAUUUUGCAGGACACCGGACUGGACAUCCCACUGAUGGACCAAGUGAAGAACUUGGCGGACACGAUAGGGCAGAUGGGCGCCAACCGUAGCCAGCAAGACCUGAGCAAGAUGUUGUCCAAUUCCCUCUUCCUCAUCAGCACCGGCACCACUGACCUCUACUCAAUCUACAACAUCAACAACAAUGGGGGCUCAGACAGCAAAACCGAUGUCCCACACCUCAUCUCCUCCUACGGGGACAGCCUCACGGCCCUGUACAACUUGGGCGCGAGGAAGUUCGGGAUCAUCAACGUCCCGACCUUGUGCACGGCGAUGGUGCGCCAUGGCUGCGAGGGCCUCAUUACCAGCCUCCGCGAGGAGUUCAACGACGGCAUCAAGCCACUCAUGGCCGGCCUCGCCUCCAACCUCAGUGGCCUCCGCUACUCCAUCGCCGACUUCCACGCCUUCUCGGAUGCAGUCAACACGAAUCCGUCGGCCUAGGGUAAAAUCUAUCAAUGUUUUCAGAUAUUCUUACAUGGUCAUGAACCUGUCGGUUAUAUUUAUGUGGUUGUUCUGGUUGUUGUGGUUUGUUGAUGGAUGCACAGGGUUUGUGAACACCGGGGGCGCAUGCUGCCAAGGCUCCUGCGCACCUGGUUCUGGGCUGCCGUGUGCCAACCGAUCGCAGUACUGGUAUUGGGACGAGGAGUACCCGACAGAGCAGGCCGCUAAGCUGGCCGCAUCUGCGUUUUUCGACGGCACAACCCAAUUCACAACACCGAUGAGCUUCAAGACGUUGAUCAGCCAAAAAGUGACAUUUCUUUAUGUUUUCGACUUGCCGUAUCCAGAAAUAAAGCAAGUCAUCUGUGUGAGACUUACAUUGCCAUUUGCCUUUGAGUUCUUUUUUUUUCUAAUGUGCCGCUUUGUGUUGCUCGUAGCAUUCACUGGCACAGUGGCACGUUGUGUUUUAUCACCGUCUAUUGAUAUUUUCUUUUUUGACGAAAAAAUAGCGGGAGGGUGGCUGAACGUUGGCGUAGAUGGGAUUGGGUUUGUGGAAACGGUUCAAGCAUUCGCGUAAAGUGUGGGUGCAUGUGUUUAUUUAUUUUCCGACAAAGGGGGUGCAUGCGUUUAUAAAGAUGAGUCUAUGUGAGCGUCUAUAAUAUGUUUCUAGAGAAAAGGGGCGACAAUUAUAGCAGCUCUCUUUACAUACGCCCAAGCUGAAUUUUGUAGUAUCAUACUCCAUCAGGGCAGAUACAUAGGGCACGCACAUGUUCUUAGGUCAUCAAUUUGACUAACAAAAUAGUAUAUGUUAUAUGCCACCAAAAUUAUAUGUUUAGAAAUGUUAUUCGAAUAUGAAUCCAAUGAUAUACUUUUGGUUUUGUGGGAAGAAAAUGAUAAGCUGUCUGCUGGAGGGGGUACAUGGACUACGCAAAAGUACGAGAAACAGCUCAAGUGUGUGCCGGAGCUAGUAUAAAGGCACUCUUGGUGCCUGUGUCUAUUUGUACCGUUAAGGCCUCACCUCCAUACCUCUUUUUUUUGCGGGGGGGCCCACCUCCAUACUGUACUGUCUAAUGAAUCUAACAAUGCCAUGUAUCCACAUUUUGUACUGUCUAAUAAUUCAAAAGAUCACAUGUAGUGAGAUCAUUCUAGCUGGUGGUGGUCUGGAGCCCCGGCAGCCAUCAGGUUGAUCUUGGCAAUGGUGCCAGGAUGGUGGAAACGCCAAACUGAAGGGAAGAAGAAGAAAAGGCAGGCAGAGGGGUGCGUGCUGGCUCGAGGAACUAACAGGAAACUCGCCGCGCGCAUUGAUCAGAGCAAAGAGAAAACUAACCAGAGUUGAAGAAGAAGGCCCGACUAGCGACUGCACUCCCAAGCCUCCGUCCACCCUCAGAUGUAGCUAAUGCGUCGCAUACACUGCGGUGUGCCUUCCACCCAACUACCAGAGCAUCCUCCGGUCUCAUUUGAGGCCGGCACAGCUUCAUGUCCAUCGUGUCUCUGAAUGAUCGGCCUCAAUGAAACAUGGCUGAGGCGAGCGCAAAUUGGACAAUCUCUGCCUGUCUGAAUAUAUUGUGUGCUCAGUUUUAGUGGAUUUGCCAGUCACGAAUGGGGCAGUGAACUCUGCAUUCCAAGCCCUCACACCAGCCACAGGUGUGCCACGCUUAGAUUCCACACCACACCACUUGCUAUUCAUACACAAACCGAGUCUGCAAGCAUACGAGCUUAAAGCUGUUAAGAUGUUCCAGAUUGAUACUGCCAGGGGUAAACUAACAUUGUCCGCAGAGAGCUAAAGAACCCUAGAAGUCGAGCCAACUCGGGCCAACAAGACAAACCUACGCACCCUCAAGACCACCAGAAAGUAGAAACCAUCUACACUAACUCGAGUGCUCCAUGGAAGAGGCUUCACGGAGUCUUGACAAAGUGCAGGCUCAGAAGCUUGGCAAUCUCCAGGAACCCAACAC
rnacentral:lncRNA from 1 species